rnacentral:lncRNA from 1 species
AACCCAUGGGACCUUUUUCUCUCUCGACCACAGAGAAAUUUCUCUUUCGCCUGUGAUUUCUUUAAGAUUGAUUAUUUUGAAUUCUUUUCCUUUAAAUUUACUUAAAAGCUUUUUGUUUAAAGCAAUCAUAAUUAAGCCACAUGAAUUGUGGUAUGGGUUUUUCCAAGUAAGACCCGAAUCGCUGACUUGAGCGUCGGAGGGUUCUCGCCGGAAAAACUUCCGGCACCUCCUGACUGUUGGUUGUGUUCACAGGCUCACAGGUUAUCUGCUCAUGGAUCGUCUGCUCAUGGGUUAUCUGCUCAUGGAUCGUCUGCUCAUAGAUUGUCUGCUCAUGAGUUCUCUGCUCAUGGAUCGUCUGCUCAUGGAUUGUCUGCUCAUGGGUUGUCUGCUCACAGAACAUCUGCUCAUAGAAAAUCUGCUCAUGAUAAUCAUCAGCUUCCCACCAAACAAAUUUAAUGAUGAUGCAGGGAUCUGAGAUUUGAUAAACUCAUCCGGAUUUCGGCAUCUACACUAUUAAAGAAGUAAAAUUUUACCGUACUAUUUUUGAAUUAAUAUGUUAAAGACGGGGGAUAAAAAAUACGUAUUUUAUGAUUUUAUGUCAAAUUAAUAUUUUAUUCAUUUCAUCCCAAAUGCCAUUGGAUUCUUUAUUGUCGGUGUUACAGCUUUAAUGCAUCAAAUUUAGGAACUUUAAUGUAAAACAACUAUGAUUUGCUAACGUUGGCCCAGUCCACACGUUGCGAGUAACACAAGGUCAAAUCCAACCUUAGAGUUCUCAAAUCGCAAUUGCCCCUUUCUUUUCUUUUUAUUUGGUUUGUGGGAAAAAGACUGUCAUAGGGUAAGGUUUAGGAAAAUGAAUAAAAAAUAUCUCAACGUUUUCGAAAAGAUAUUUAUAAUUCUAUUUUUUUUAGUAGAUUCUAUUUGUUUUAUUAAAAAUACAUUUUUAUUUUAUAAUUAUUAUUAUAUCCCUCUACCAAAUAAGUCAAUAGGUUAUUAACCUUUGAUGAAAUUUAUGAGAUUGGUGGCUAGUUGACUUUAAUCAUAAACAUCCUCUUCAUAGCCACUUCAUCGAAGCUAUUGUCGGUUCGUCGAACAAGAAACUGGUUCUACCAAAGCACGCAAAAUUACUCAUUACUAAUUAAUUAAUUAAUUAAUCUCUAAUAAACACUUAUUAAACAAGUAAUUUUUGUUAAAAGAAAAAAAAGUGACAUAAGAAAUUAUUCACAAACAGUUAAGUUAGGAUUAAUUUUUUUAAAAAAAAAUCAUCUCCUGAUCUGAUCUCUUCUGAGUUUUUUAAAAUUUCCUUUCAUGUGUAUUUUAGUGGUAGUGUAUGAGUAAUAUUCAAUUUUAUUUAUUUAUUUAUUUAUUAAUUAAUAAUUAAUAAAUAAAUUAUUUACUUAAGACAGAAUCUUAAUCUAAUUUUUUUAAGAUUAACAUAUUAAAUCAAAUUGGUAUGGGCCAAAAGUUGACAAUAAACAGUAAACCAAAUUGCCGCCACACUCAAAUAAAUCCUCCGAUCCAUGUUAUUUGUACAUAAAAUUACUCGUGGGGGCGCUAUGUUUCAGCAAUCGGGUUUUAACCACUUCUGAUGUUUUGCAAAAGUGGGUCCAAUAGAAUCAUACUCCAUAUGAUUCCGCCAAGUGUCCAAUUGUGUUCCAAAUUUUCAAACGUGAUAAAUUUUCCUUUUUGCCCUUUUUUUCUUAACUCAAGUUUGUCGGCGGCGGUUGCCCAAAGCUUUUGUUUCCUUGGGCCUCAACGGACCCUUACGAAGGGGCCACGUGAGUAGGGAUGGCAAAUAUCUAAUGAUGGAUGUAUAUUAUCCAUCCAAACACAAAUUCAUAAUUAUCUAAAAUGGAUAUAUCCAUAUUCAUAUCCAGUAAUUAAUAUUAGGCAUGGAUAUGAAUUUUAUUCAUAUAGUUAUGGAGAUCCAUAGAUAUCCAUGGAUAUUUUAUUUUUAUUAUAAAAAAAUAAUAAUAUAAAAUAGUUAAAAUUCUAAUAUUAAAUUUGGCUAUUAAACUAUUUAUAUUAGUAAUAAUAUAUAUAUAUAUAUAUAUAUAUAUAUAUAUAUAUAUAUAUAUAUAUAUAUAUAAAAUAUAAUAUAAUAAAAUAGCGGUCCGGUGGUUGGUGGUGGCGGUCCGGUAACUUUCCGGCGAAGUCCGCGGUGGUCCGGCGACUUUCCGGCAAGGUCCGGCGGUGGUCCGGCGGCCUUUCGGCGAACCCGGCGACCUUCCGGCGAAUCCGGCGGUGGUCCGGCGAAGUCCGGUGGUGGUCCGGCGAUUUUCUGACGGAAGUCCAUUUAUAAUAUUAAAUCAUUAAAAUAAAAUAAUAAUUAUUAAUAAUAUUAAAUAAGUUAAAAAAUUAAAGAGUAAUUUUAAAAAUUUUAAUUUUUAAUAUAAGAGGAAUUUAAAAUUUUCACUAGUUAAUAUAAGAGAAUAUUAAAUUUUGUUGUUUUUUUUAUUUUAGUUUAACAAUAUAAAUUUUUUUAACUUAAAAUGGAUAAAUUAAUUAGAUUUUAGAUAUCUAUUAAAUAUCCAUACCCAUCCAAUAUCCAAUUAGAUAUUUUUAAAAAUAUCCAUAUCUAUAUCCAAUAAGAUUUUGAAUAGAUAUUAUCCAAUCCAAUUGGAUUGGAUAUAUGGAUAUCCAAUUUGGAUGGACCAAUUUGCCAUCCCUACACGUGAGCCCGAAAGGUUAUCGCUUUACUUUCCUCUUAUCAUUACAGCUAUUAGCUAACCGUAUCGGGCGCCCCUUCUCCGUCUUCACUACAUUUUAAUAAUGAGCAUGACGUCCGCUGGCAUUACACGACACCGUUUCGUACUAGCAGCGACAAAAUCUAACAGGUGUCAAUCCCACUGUCAUGGGCCCACGCGUCGAGCUACACGUGGCGGCGCUACGUCACGUGGUCAACUUUUUAAAUUAGACCCUUGUUUACAAAUUUGUAAAAUAUUCCUGAACUCCGAAUCUAGUAAUUGAAAAAUCGAUUCGCCGAAAACUGUGGCUUAUUGUGAUUGGUUGGUAUUAAUAAAUUAGUACAAGAGCGUCAAGGGGUACCACGACUAGCGGCAGACUAUUAUUCCAUUUUCUUUCUUGAAUAAUCCCGCUUUUAGUAUUAUAUUAAAAAAUUUAAAUAUAUAAUUAGAAAUAUUAUUAAUUAUAAUUAAUUAUUAAUGGAUUUAAUCACCCAAUUAUGGAAUUGAAAAUUGGACAAAUUUAGAUCUAAAUUUAUACUUGUAACCCAAAAAUGAAGAGUGUUAAUUCUACUUCCAUAAUUAGCUGAAAUAAUUCUUUCCAUUCUCCAUCACUACAAAUUUAGCCUGACGAGUGGCGAACGAUAUACAAAAUUAUAAAUAGGAACGCCCCGACCAAUCAGGCAAUUUGCAGGGAGUCGAACUUUCAGUGGGUACCCACAUCGAAGCAAAAGCACCGUUACAUUUUGAGAGUACAACACUUUGUCGGUCGUCCAAUCCGACGGCUAAAAAUCACCCACGUGUCGAUCCUUCACCCCUCCGUUCCUCCUUGCUUCGCCAACAAUAAAGUACACGAUCCUUAAUUUCUCAAAGCUAAGCGAAAAACACUAACCGAGAAAUCACUCGUCUCUUUCCCUGCGCUUCUACUUUCCUUUCACUGGAGGGAAAAAAUAUAUUCCCAUUUGUUUCCGAUAAACCGGCACCGGAGUUAUCAGACGACUAUUUUCUGAUGCUUCCAUAUUCCAAGCUUCCGUCGCCGGACCCGCCUCCGAAAAAAUCAAAAUUUCCCGAGUUAGAUCAAAAGAGCUCGUUAAAUGGACUGAUUUAUCCAACUCUCUCGCUUCAAAGCCCACGCUCAUGGCUGCUCCUCGUCAUCCUCUUGCUCCAGGUAAUUUUCGUCCUCUUGCUCCGCUCCGUCUCCAUGUCAUUCUCCUCUAGCCACGUGGCGCCCCAACAGUCCCACCCCGAAAUAUCGGCCUCCGUCCCACGCGUAUCGGACCAAUGCGAGUUGGGUAAAAUCUACGUCUACGAUCUCCCUAAAUCUCUCAACGAAGAGUUAUUACAAAAUUGCCACGAGCUGAACCCGUGGGGUUCUCGCUGCGACAUGCUGUUAAACGACGGGUUCGGCAGACAGGCGAAUGCGUUAAACGGCGUCGUACCGGAGAAUUUAGUCCCGGCUUGGCACUGGACUGAUCAGUUCGUUCUGGAAAUCAUUUUUCACAGAAGGAUUUUGAACCACAGGUGUCGGACGUUGGAGCCAGAAUCUGCUGCGGCGUUCUACUUACCGUUUUACGUUGGACUCGCGGUGGGGAAAUACCUGUGGUCUGAUUCGAGCGCCAAGGCGCGUGAUAUGCACUGCGAUAUGAUGUUAAAGUGGGUCCAGGAUCAACCGUAUUGGAACCGAUCGGACGGGUGGGAUCAUUUCACGGCCAUGGGGAGGAUCACGUGGGAUUUUCGGCGGUCGAAGGACGAAGACUGGGGGUCCAGCUGUAUCUACAAGAAAGCUAUGAGGAACAUCACCCGCCUCCUCAUCGAACGAAACCCGUGGGACUACUUCGACGUUGGUGUGCCUUACCCCACGGGAUUCCACCCCCGAUCCGAGUCCGACGUCACCCAGUGGCAGGACUACGUCCGCAGCCGCAAUCGCUCGUCCCUCUACUGCUUCGCUGGGGCCACGCGGAUGGUCAAGAACGACUUCCGGUCGAUGCUGCUGAGUCACUGCAAGAACGAGUCGGGCUCGUGCCGGGUCGUGGACUGCGAGGGGACCCGGUGCAUGAACGGCACGUCGGCGAUCCUCGAAACGUUCUUGGACUCGGUGUUUUGCUUGCAGCCGAGGGGGGACAGCUUCACGCGGAGGUCGAUAUUUGACUGCAUGGUGGCCGGUUCGAUCCCGGUUUUUUUCUGGAAGCGGUCGGCCUAUUUCCAGUACGCUUGGUUUUUGCCCGAUGAGCCCCGGAGUUACUCGGUUUUUAUAGACCGGAACGAGGUGAGGAAUGGGACCAAGUCGAUAAAAGCAGUGCUGGAGAGUUACUCACAGGAGGAAGUGAAGAGAAUGAGGGAUAAAGUAAUUGAUUAUAUACCAAAGUUUAUUUACGCCAAAUCCAGAGAAGGUUUAGGGACAAUCAAAGAUGCAUUCGAUGUUGCAAUUGAUGGGGUGUUACGGAGAAUCAAGGAGCAGCAAGAGUUGGGAUUUAAGUGGUAGAUCAUGGACCGUCGGCUUAUGUGUAUUCUGUACAUAUUUUUCACUACAGAUAAUUAAUUUUACCAUAUAGAUGUAAUUUUUUUGUUUUUUUUGUUUGGAUCGAUCGAGAGUUCUGCGAUAUACGUUUGCCUGGCAACUGGGUGGGUGGCCUUAUCAGAGUGAAGGACCACUGCUCCAUUAUUCUUUUGGAUGUCGUGUAUAUUAUCAUUUUUGUGGCGCCUUACAUUUACAUGGAUGCGCCAUGAACUGGGUUCCUUUUUGUUUCCUUGAAAUUGAUUUUUGGUAUCAAUACAAUGUUCAUUGCCGAAUAAAUUAUUGAUGAAGUUUUAAUUUAUUUCUUUUUGUUUGGUGACUCGCGAACAUCUUGGAAACAAGCUUGUAUGCGUUUUCUUUUAUGGUGAUUAAGAGAGCAGAUGGUGAAUAGAUUAGUUAAAUGCAGAAGAAGGAAGCACACCAGAAUUUGGAAGCCGUGGUCUUUUAUUUUUACCAACGUAAACCUGAUUAUAUUACAUUAAACAACAGUACAGUUAUAUUAUAUUCAACAACAUUAGACUAACGCAUGUUGUUAAAGUUAUAUUGUCUUAACCUGAUUGUUGUUUUUCUUAUUAUUGUUUUCGCACAAUAUGACAAAUAUUGUAAUAAAUAACAGUAAUUACAAUAACAAAUUAAAGGUAUUUUAGUAACUUAAAAUAAUUUAUUUUAAUUUCAAAAUAAAAUAAAUACAUCAACAUUAAUACGACUCAUUUGUAAAUAUUUCCUAAUUCAAUAAAUAAAUACUCCAUAAAAAAUAAAAGAAAGGGGGGGUUUGUAUCUAGGGAUGGCAAUGGGGAGGGGAGGGGAGGGGGGAGGGGAGGGGACUAAUCUCUCCGUACCCAUCCCCGAUAUUUUGCGUAUGUCCCCGUCCCUUCCCCGUUCCCGUCAGAAUUAUUUAAGAUAAUCAUCAUCCCCUCCCCGAAUAAUAAUAGGGGAUCUCCGAGGGUCCCCGAUCCCCGCAUAACUAAUAUAAUUUUUUAUUUUCGAUUUGAGUUAAUCAUAUUAAAAUAAAAAAAUUUAAAUAAAAGUAAAGUUCGAAAAAUAUCUUACAUUAAUAUCCAUUACAAAAGUCACAUACAUUAAAUUAGUAAGUAACGCAGCAUGCAAGAGAUACAAACUUUUUUUUAUAAACUAUCAUGAACAAAUUAAUAGUCUAAUACAAAAUUGUUACAACUAAAAUCGAAUUUAGAUUCAAAAUUAACUUUUUUCAAUGGUGGCGUGGGCACUUUAUAAAUGUGGAUUAUUCCUUUUACAGCACAAUAGUUAAGUCGGAGCAAAUCAAGAGCAAAUAUUAGAUUAAAUUAGAUUAGAUAUUAAAAUUGUGAUUCGCUGUGGGCAAUUAUAACAUCUAAAAAUAAAUAAAUAAAUAGAUUUAAGUUUAAAAUAUUUAAUAAAUAUUAAAAUUAAAACAAAACUUUUGGGCUAAUAGAAUCUAUCCAGUCUUUUUAAUGUCCUAAAUAAAAAUUUAGGACUUUAAUUAGUUAAUUAGGCCUAAAAGUUUAAUAAUAUAAAUAUUUUGAUAUUUGUUAUUUUUACCAAUUUUUAUAAUUCAAAUUUUAUUAUUUAUUUACUAGUAAUUUUAAAAAGUAAAAAUUAAAAUUAAAAUGGGGAAAUGGGUAGGGGAUGGGGAUUCCACCUCAUCCCCAUCCCCUCCCUAAAUAAGAAAUUGGGUAAAAAAAAUUUCCCAUCCCUUUCCCGAAUAAGAAAUUGGGUAUGAAAUUAUCCUCAUAUCCUCCCUGAAUGGGAAAAAUCCCCGAAAAUACCCGUCCCCGUGGAGAUUUUUACCAUCCCUAUUUGUAUCCUCUUUCAUUUUACAUUUCUAAUCAUUCCACCUUGUUGUUUUCCCAUUGGACGAUCAAGUUUGACAUCAUGUUUUAGUUGUUUUAUACUGCAAAUUGCCAGUAAAUAUCAAACACCAACAACCGCAUCAUUGUCCUCGCACUAGGUUUAAACUGUUAUCUAAACCAUUUUUAAAUCAAAGUUUUGUCUUAGGGGAAGAAAAAAAUAGUGAAAUGGGUGUGCUGGUUUGAUGGUCUUAUUGAUUGAUAUGGAGGAACAUGGCAAAGUGAUAAUGGUGGGGCUUAAAAGCAUAAAAAGCCGAAAGGAAUCUCCAUAUUUUGCUACUUUCCUCUUGCAGGUGGAGGCAAGAGCAUGCCCAAUUACAAAUAUACAGAGUUAAUUAGGAGAGCAACAAAAACUAAUAACUUCCUUGUCAAUGGCACCUUAUUUCUCAAUUUCUUUUAUGUCAGUGUCUGUAGUUUUUAGGAGGGUGACUGGGUGAGGGUGAGAGUGGUGAAGUGCAACAACAUAUGUAAGUAAGAGUAGGCCUUCCUCAUUUGUCAUUUCAAACCAUGUCAAGAGUUGAAUCAUUCCCACCCCUUCACAAACCUCUUAAAAUUCUUUUAAUUAUUUUACGAUUUUAACCUUUAUUAAAUCUACAUAACCGCAGACAAUUGUCUUGCGCUGAAAGCUCUCCACUUCACCAUCUUGAUUUCUGUUAGACAAACCGCGUCGUGUGAUCAAGACGAUGAAUGCGACAAUUGAAGAAUGAGAUGUCGAUAUCGAAUUCGGCAUGACGACAUCCCAUCUCCAUAUAUAUUAAGAUGACAGUGUGCAGAUAAUCUUUGAGAGGGGCCACUGGCUGCGUCUUUUAGUGAAAUCCCAAUUGAUUGUUAUUAGUUUUUACUGAUGAGAUGUAAAUCAUGUCUUCACAUUCAUUUUCAAGUGUACUGAUGAGGUUGAACAAUUUAAUUGUGAUAAAUAAAUAAAAAAAAGAAUGAUUUUAGAAUAUAUAUGAUAUAUUACAACUAAUUAAUACAUAUAUGACAUGUGUAAUUGAGUUUAAUACUUCUCAUUAUUUACAUGAUAGUUUAUAAAAUAAAUACACAUAUGUCAUGAUAUUAUUUAUUUAUUAUAUAGGUAAUAUGGUAUAACAGAUGUAUUUCUAAAAUUAAAAAAAAAAAAAAAAAUUGAAGACGCAUUUAAAAGAGUGCUAAUAGGUCAAGUCAUUAUGUCAUUGACAAACAAUCUAAUCACUAUGGGCGUGUUCGCAACCCGCAUAACAUCAGACUCAUGUUUGGGCAAUUGGGCUGCAGUAGCUGCCACAUUGUGGUGUAUAUUCAAACCCGAGUGUGACUGUUAAAUUAGCUUUCUUUUUAUUUUUCUUUUUAUUUUUCAUGUAUUAUAACAAAUAAAAAUAAAUUUAUGAUUAAUUUUAAAUUAUUUAAUAUUAUAUAUUUUUUAUUUUAUAUUAAUUAUAUAAAUAUAUAAUUAAAUAUUACAUUGUUUAAUUAUAUUAUAAUAAUUAAUAUAAAGAUUAAAUAUUAUAAAAUAUUUUAGUGUAACUGAUAAUAAAUAGUUAAAUAUUAAUAAAUUUAAAUAAUAUAAAUUUAAAAUUAAUACUAAUAUAAAUAAUGAUAUAAUUACAUAUACUACAAUACAUAUUGUACCAAACAUGAUAUUGCAUUAUAGCUCAAUACAUCUAAUGGUGUAUUUACGAAUUAGUAAUUAAAAUGGGCUGGAAUCGAAAUGGAGGAGUGAAAAUCAAAAUAAAAUUAUUUAUUUUAGCUGUAGAAAUCGGGAUAGGAAUGGGCUAUAUUGUGUUUGUUUUGUCUUGAAAUUAGAAUAAAUUGUUUUAGAUUACUAAAAUGGUUUUAGUUUAUUAUUACCAUUAUUUUUAUUAUUUAUUAUAAUGAUUAUCAUUAUUAUUAUUAUUAUUCAAGAAAAUUUGUUAAUACUAAUAAUAAUAGUUACAGUUGUUGUUGUUGUUGUUGUUAUUAUUAUUAUUAUUAUGUUUAUGUUCUCUCUUGUCCUUUUUUCCCUCUUUUUCUCCUUCUCUUUUUUCUUUCAUUUUUAUUUUUCUUUUUUAUUUUUCUUUUCUUUAUUAUUUCUUUUCUUCUUCGUCUAUACUUCAUUUUCAAACUCUUUUUUCUUUUUCUCUUAUUUUUUGUUACUUCUUCUUUUCUUCUUCUUCUUUUGUUUCGUUUUUAUUUUUUCCUCUUCUUUAUCAUUUCUUAUUGUUCUCCAUUUGGUCUUCAAAACAACAAAUGAAAGAAACCGACAAUGCUACAUGAUGAUCGAUGAUGCAAUUCCUACUUGCUGCGUGAUGAGAUCUUAGUUUUGGUUAAUGUGAUUUUCAAUUUUUUUUGUAUUUUUUAUUUUUAUUAUCUAAAAAGAGAAUAAAUUUGUAACAAUGUAAUUUGAGAUAUUUUUUAGAGUUUUGGGAAUGAGAGUACUUUAAACUCUCUCUAAUAUUCGAGGGGUGUGUACUCGGGUGCCUACUUCACUCAUAUUUCGUAAGGGAGAGAUUGUCUCCAGUCAAUUAGUUGAUAAUUGGGGGAGUACUGAAACUAACCUCCAUAAUACUCUUAUGGAGGCUCGAACCCUUACACUCAAUAUUAUAAGUGGAAGACUUCUUCCAUGUAAUAUACCUUAAUACAACACAAUAGUACGUCAAACGCAUCCUAUAAGACAAAAAUCUUAUGUAAAAGGCUGAUGUGGCCCAGAUAGGUCCGGACUCUCGGGCAGCACAAAGGGCCCAAAUAGACCCAUAAAACCAUAACCUCAAAUAAAUCAAGUUGAUAAUAACUCUUUACACUCACAUCCCCUGAAGACAGUUUCAUCUUUGUCGUCUCCUUAACGGCAUCUUGGCUUCACUUCUGUAAAUACAACUCGUUUGCCAAUUGAAUGUUGUUUCCCUUACUUCUUACCUACAGUGAAAGGGUUAUUUCGAUUUCAAUAAAUUGUUUUUGUUGCACAUAAUUCCUUUGUUUAAAAUUUGAAUGUAUAUAAAGAUUGGCUUCUUUCGCCAUAAUAUAUUUUCUGACAACUGCAGAGCUUCUUUAUUGUCUUUUAAUUUAGAACAAAGAAAGCACACAAGAUGACAUGCUUUCGAUGUUAUUGCAAUCUUAAUACCAUCUCUAAAUAAAAAAGAAAAAAUAAAAAAUCUCUCUCUCUCUCUCUCUCUCUCUCUCUCUCUCUCUCUCUCUCUCUCUCUCUCUACCAUACGCCGGGUUCAUUGAGAAAAAAAUGGUACGGGCAUAUUUGUGGCAUUAAAGUUGGUGUAACCAGUAUGUGAGUGGCCAUUCCUUCUUCAAUUUUUUUUUGGGAAUAGUGAAGCAUAACUAGUAUGUGAGUGGCUUUGAUUCUUAUUUUUUAAUGCUUGUAAUUAAAAAGUGGGGUUAUAAGAACAGUAGUGGGGUGGCAGUAGCACACUUUAUUAAGGGUGGUCAGUUUGAAAUUACGGAGACUGAUGAAAUAAAUUGUUUGUACUGUACAGAUAAAAUAAAUUAUUAAUUAAAAAAGUAGUUUAAUAUUUAGUAAAUUGUAUUGUUGUAGUUACUGUGAGUUUGAAAAAUAGAGUAUAUGCGUUUGGUAAAUCUUAUUACAAAAGUGUUGUUGUAUUAUAUAAUGACCAAAAUGGACAUACGUUUUAAUUUUUUUUAUUUUAUGUUUAAUAAAUUGUUUAGACAUAAUUUUUUCUUAAAUAUGUAAAAUUAAUUAAAAAAACUCAAUUAGGAAAAUUCUGAAGAACUUCAUAAUCUAUUACAUAAAAUAUAAUAAAAAUUUCUACUUUUACAUAAUCUAAAUAAAAUAAAAAGUAAUAUGUAUUACAUUCACAAUAAUUUUUUUGCAAUAAAAUUGUGGCAAUAAUAUAAUAUCUAAUGAUUUAUAUAUUAGGGUUUAUGGAUAAAUACGAUAUAAUCGUCUUUUUAUCAAAAUAUUAAAGUUACAAUAGGUAUUUUAAAAAGACGUAGUAGCUUAUUGAAUAAAUUGCUUAUGAAAAGCAACCUUCUACCUGCUUUUAAAAGCUGCUAAUGAAAUGAAUAAAAUUAUGAAAUAAACUGCUUUUACAAAAUUUACCAAAUACUAUUGUUAUCAAAAAUUAUAAAAUAAACAGCUUAUUAAGUUUCAACCCCAAUCUCAAACGGGGCCUAAAUAUCCACUCAGUCCUCUGCAGUGUCAGCACUACUACUUUGCCCAUGCAAUAUUUGCAUGAAUCCUCUUCUCGGCAGCAAACACAAAACUCUAAACUAGUCCUUCUGAAACGAGGCGUUUUAGUGUUUUACUUGCGAAAUUUGACUGGACAAAGUAGCAACCUUGAAUGAUCCACAUAUUAUUUGAAGAGGUUCUGAUCUAAUCAUCUAAUGCGCGCUGUCACGCAUUGUGUGCAACGAUGCGUAUGAUGAAUUUUCAUUAACAAAAUCAUGUGUCCUCAGUACAACUCUACCGGUAAAAAUUUGUCACAUAUAACGUUGUUCACCAUAACGUGCACAUAUAAUCAAAAUUCUUUAAGAUAUCUACAUUGAUUUCAUUCCACAUUUGCUCUUAUUGCAUACAAAUUAUCAUAGAUUGGACUUUUAUGAAGGGUGCUGAUAGGCGUGGCCAAAACUAAAUUGGACCUGAAAAAUUACCGGUUCGAUUUGGCUUUUUAAGGUUUUCGAUCGUUAUUUUUUCUUAGGAAAAAGUGAAUAUUUUGGUUUGUUAUAAAAUCAAAUACUUUAGUUCGGUUUUCAUGUUAAAGUUUCAAAUCUGAAAAUCAAACCAAAAAAUUGAAAAAAAAAAUAAUUUUUAAAUAAAAAAAUCUCAUAUCAUUCAGGGGUGGCCCAAACUAAAUUGGACUUGAAAAACUUCGAUUUAGUUCGGUUUUCUAAGCUUCAAUUCAUUAUUUUAUAACUAAAAACACUGAAUGAAUUAACGUCAAAAUCGAACCGAAUGAAAAUUUCCAAAUUGAUUUUUUUUAAUUCCCAAAUUAUAAGCAAAUUUUGCAAAAAACAUCUUUGGCAUCCGUGUGAGCGAAUUUAAAUCUCUAAAACAAAACAAAAAAAAGAAUCCGUAUGAAUCUUUUGACUAAUUGAACGACCGAUCAAUAGUCCUACUUAACCACCGUUCUUCACUUUUUUAUUUUUAAAAAGAAGAAAAAGAAAUUUAGUAUUUUUAUUUUUUUGAAAGUAAGGAUAGAUAAUGGAAUCCUUACUAGGGCUCAAUCCACUUCCCUGCACGCGGAGGGAAGUGGUGUGUAACACCUGAUGAAAGAUUUUCUGGUAAGAGAGAGAAGAAGACGAUAAGAAAAAAAAAUAUUUUAUUUAAUUUUAUAGUUUGUUUUGUAGUUUAGAGAAAAACGUGUAUAAAUUUUAACUUCUAUUAGUGCAAAGUAGAUUUUGUUUUGUGUAUUUUUUAAUUUGAUUUUAGGUUUAGGCUUAACAAACAUGUAUUACACAUUUAGUAUUAAAACGAAAAUGAAAACAUGGGCUAAAAAAUGACCUUAGGGCAUGUUUGGCGCGCGGGUUUCAGGGCGUAUGGAUUGUACAAAAUUUUCAGCACCAUGUUUGGUGCAGAUAAUUAAGGUGAGACUAUGUAUAAAUAAAUCAAGUUUGGGUGGCUUAUAAAGACCCGCCUUUUUUUAAUUUUUAAUGCAAUUCUUUAAUUUAUUUUAAUUAUAUAUUAAAUAUAAAUAUUUAAAUCAUGACCGGCGACUUGACCACCACCGGCCGCCAGCUGAUGUUAUUUUCCGGCAUCUUUUGACAUUAUUGUUAGUGUCAAUAGAAUUAUUGUCCUGAGCUCUACACAACCGUAUCGAGAUCUUCGGCGACGAAGCUACCGUUUGCUGUAAAUCUACAAUUAAAGUUUUGAAAUUCAAAAUUUUAAUUGUCGAUCUACGGCGAAGGGGAGCUUCGUUUUCGGUGAUUUUAGUACCAUUGUGUAGAGCUCGAUAAGAGAAUUCCAAUGAUACUAAUCAUAACCUAAACAAACAAUGUUAAAAAAUUUUCCGGUGGUGGCCAAUGGUGGCUGCCGGUGAUUAAUUUAUUUUUUAUUAAUAAAAUUAUAAUUUAAUAUAAUAUAAUAAUAUUAAAUAUUAAAAUACACAAUACAUUCCAUACUUACACGAGGUUAAUGUAUUAUUUAAUACCUUCUAAUACAAUAUAAUCCAUUACAAACCAAUACAGACUACUACAAUCCCAUCUACCACACACCACCUUAGUGUUUUACUUGCCAAAUUUUGUUGGAUAACGCACAUAGUCAUGCACUAUGUGCGAUGAUACAUAUGAUGAAUAUUUACUAAUAAAAUUAUGUGUCCACGAUUCAACUCUACCAAUAAAAAUUUAUCAAAUGCAUCGUCGUUCAUCAUAACGUGCGCGCUUAGUUAAAAUUCUUUAGUUAUAUAUACUGAUUUCAUUCCACAUUUACUCUUAUUACAUACAAAUUAUCAUAUAUUACACUUUUGUGAAGGAUGGUAAUGAAUCGAUCAAUGCUAGUCUAUUGAUGAAUAGUAAUCAUAAGAUAAGAGUAUUCAAUUGAUUCUACUAAAGCAAGGGUACUUGCACUUGGAUUAUGAAAUUAGCUCCUUAAGAGUCUUUCCAAUCAUACUAAUGUACCGAAAUUCUGAAAAUCUUUUUGCUUUUUGUAAAAAAGAAAACAGAUGCUCAUAUGGCAGUGGCUAGAGCUGAAGCAACAGUGGCGUCGUCCCCCUGAAAAUUAAGAUAAUUCAAAGUAAGUGUCUUCUUCUCAGCCAAGUUGGAAACCCCCCUCCUGAAGGUUGGUUUAAAAUGAAUUUGGAUGCGGCAAUCAAGUCAAAAAAGAUCAAUAUGUUUGGUUGGAAUCGCCAUCAGGAACCACAAGGGAGAGUUCGUAGCUGCUGCUGUAGCAUCUGCGGAAGCCAGAGCAGCAAAUUGACGACUAGAAAUUGCAGGAGAUGCUGCACGUAUUCCACUGAUUGGUGAAUCAGAUUGCCAAGAAGUGAUGAACCUAAUCACGGGAAAGAAGAGCAGCAAGAUGGAGAUUGUUUGGACCAUUUCUGAAGCCUUCAAAUUAAGAAUAUAUAAGCCUAGAAGUUGUAGCUCAUGCUUCAGUUCAGUUAGUCUUAGCUUCAAAGGUUGUUGAACCCGUUGUUUGGGGGAGAAUUGUGGGGAAUGUACCCCAUUCCCUUCAAAAUACCCUAUAUAUACCUAAAAUUAUAACACUCUUAAAUUUUACACAUAUAUACUUUAAAAAAUUAGAAAAAAUACAAAAAUAACCAUAACUAAAUUCUCAUAAAACUAAACCCAACUCCUCAAAGUCGGGUAAAUAGUCGAGAAUACUCGACUUCAAUCAAACCAUACACAAUUAGUAAUUCAGCAUAAAUUCUCGACUUUUUCAUGUUAGUAUGGUAAAUAAUCGAGAAUACUCGACUUCAAUUGAAAUAAAAAAUUAUCUGAAAUUUUUUUAAUUUUUUCAAGUAAGUCGAGUAAAGAGUCGAGAAUACCCGACUUUAAUUUAACCUUACCCAAUAUUCAUUCAACAAAAAUUCUUGACUUUUCAUUGAAAUUCGGUAAUUGGUUGAGAAUACUUAACUUAAAUUGAAAUGAAAUUUUUUUUUUUAAUUAAGUCAGGUAAAAAGUCGAGUAUACUCGACUUUGGUUGUGUUCAUGAGAGAGGAAGUAAACGUAAAUAAAUGAUUUUUUUAGGUUAUUUUUAACUUUUUAUAUUUUUAAGAGGUAUAUGUAUAUAAUGAGGUAUAAAUUUAACAUUUAAGGAUAAAUAGGGUAUAUUUAAAUAAAAAACCCGUUGUUUGGCUGGGGACUCGCUCGCCCUAUCUUUUGUACUCUACCACCAGUCUUCACAUUUUUAUUACUAAAAAGAAGGAAAAUAAAUAUAGUAUUAUUUAUUUAUUUAUUUUUAAUGCAAGGAUAGAAAAUGGAAUCAUAACUAGGGCUCAACCACUUCCUUCCACGCGGAGGGACGUGAUGUGUGACACGUGACGGAAUUGCCGCGGCUUAAAUAUUUGGAUUUCGAAAAGAUGGCGCAGAGAUCCCCGCUCCUCACCCACCUCAAAUCAAUCGUCUCUUUAUUUCAUAAGCUUUUAUUUAUGUUGAAAAACGUGAAAAUGCAUUUACUCUUUCUCCGUUGAUUUUCUGACUAGAAAUAAAUAAAAUAUGUAUUUAAUAAAGGGAGCCCUUAAAGUUAUAUGUAAUAUAAUUUACACCCACAAACAAUAGGUGAUGUGAAGUUCAUUUAUUGUUUAUGUGAGUGGUACAUGUAACUUGGCAUUUAUUUUUGAUAAUAAAACAUUACAUGAAAAAAUCUAGGCUUUAGUUAUUUUAUACAUGAUUCUUUCAUUGAAUAAAAAUUAACGAUUGUGAAAAUAAUAUAAUUUUAUUAUCUUAUAUAUUUAUAAUCGUUGAAUUUUCAUCAAAUCAACUGUGGAAGAAUUAUGUAUCUUACGUAAUUAUGUAAGAUAACAACCUCUAAAAAUCUAUUAUCAUAUGUUCUGUCCAUUUCUCGAUGACUCAACAUGGGCGUUCGUAGGAGCAGCGUAAAAGAUUAGUUGAUAGGGAAUCAAGAGAAAAUUUGGAAGGAUAAGAUUAAGAACAUUGAAGCCGUUGUCAUGGCUGAUAAGGCAGAAAAUUAGAGAUUUUUCAUGUCCUUUUUUGGAAUUAAAGUUAAUUAAAUCUGAUGCGUUUGGGUUUGGAGUUCUCGCCAAAUGGGCUCAACUCGUUGGCGCCUUUUUUUUUUUUCACUUUCGGCGAAGGUUUCGUGAGAGACAGUGAAGGGAUAAGGAUUAAGGAGAAAAAACUUCAUUAAAUCAGCGUCAUUUGUGUAAUAAACAAUAUUUUAGUUGGUUAAUUAGUCAAAACCCCAAGAGCUCCACGUGUGUGGAAUGCAAACAUUGAAAGCUCUCAAGUCUCAAACUUAUAAAGAAGAAGACCGUCGAAGAGUUGAAAACCUUAAAAGACGGAUCUGCCCCUAGACCUACCUCAGAGUUAACUACCAUUUUCCUUUUGUUGUUGUUUUUUUUUUUUGGGGGUUUUUUAUUUCACACAGUAUUUUUUACACCGCACGAUUCACCUACCCGGCAUAUCACAGUCUUUUACUCCCAUCGAGGAGCCUAUAUUUAACAAGCUUCCUUGAGCAGGAAAAAAGAAAAAAGUAUAUCGAACGAAGUAACCAAAACAGGAACUGAAAAUGAAAAUAAAAUUGGCAGCUCACUUUCUGCUGCUGUUGGCCUUCAGUGCGUUCAUGCUCUCGGAGGCCGAAACGCAGCUGAAACCUCAUGCUAUUGAAUCGUUUACCGUCAAUUAUAUUCAGGUACGAGUAUGGUUCUUUUUAUUAUUAUUAUUAUUAUUAGUGAACUUGGUAUAUUCCGUUGUAUGUAUUAUGUUUGAUAAUUGUUUUAUUUUUAUUUUUGAACCAAAAAUAGAAGUUCGGGAACUGCACGUACCUGGUGGUUAUAAAAACUAGCUGCGACUCAAAAAACUUUACCCGUGAUAGGAUCAGCAUCGCUUUUGGUGAUGCUUAUGGCAAUCAGGUUUGUAUUUUUUAUUUUUUUUUGAGAACAUAUAUAUUUUAUUUGAUUUCAGGUUUUAGGUUAGUAAAGUAGUUUUUAUGUUUUUUUCUUUUUUUCUUUUGUUUUGAGAAAAAAUUAAUAUGUUUUUAACUAGUUCGUUACUGUUAUUAUGCAUAUAUAAUUUUUUGAGAACCAAGUCAAAAUAAUUCAUCCAUGGGUUUCGUAUAAAAAGUUGGUGAUAAACGUUGGCUUUCAAAUUAAAUCACAAGGGCUUUUUAAUAUUGAAAGAACAAAAAUUAAGCACAACCCCAAAAUUUAUGGGGGGGGUGUAUUUGAGCGCUCUCUUAUGUAUCGAUCAUAGGUGUUUUUCAAAGCAAUUGCUUCUUGAUGAAGUGCUUGUGCUUUAAUUUGAGUUUAUAGAAGUAAUUGUGCUGCUAAUUAGGUCAGUUACUCUGCUAGUACGCGCAUGCUUCUUGAAUGUUUUCGAGAGCUUUAUCCAGAAAUAUAUUUAAAGCUAACAUCUUAGUAGAGUUUGAUGUUGAUUUUUUUUUUCUAUGGUAAUAAUUAAUAUUGUUGAAACAAUGAUAAUCAGAUUUAUGCACCGAGACUGGACGAUCCGUUCACCAAGACAUUCCAAAGUUGUUCGUCUGAUGGGUUCCAGAUUGACGGACCAUGUGCAACCGAUAUCUGUUAUGUGUAUUUGCACCGAUCAGGACUUGAUGGUUGGGAACCAGAGAGUGUGAAGAUUGUCAGUCCAAAUUCGAGCCCUGUUACAUAUGACUUCAACACCACCGCUCCCAAUGAGGAUUGGUACGGAGUCAAUUUGUGCCAGAUACAUCCUCCUCCUUCUCCAUUUGAACCUUCGCCUCCUUCUCCAUUUGAACCUUCGCCUCCUUUUCCAGUUAAACCUCCGCCUCCUCCUCCAUCUUCUUCACAUCAGCAUCGCGUUCCCAGAUUGUUCGUGCCCUUAAUGAUUCUGGGAUCCAUCCUGAGUGCUCUGUUGUAAGCACCCUUGAUGGUUUGUUUGGUUUUUAUGUAUGUGAUUCUGGGAUAGUCCUAAGUGUUUCUGUUAUGUGCUUGCAACCACUAUCUGCCGUUAUUUUGUCUGCGGCAGGCACGAUUGGUGCAAUAAUAUGUCAUGUUGUUGUUAGUUGUAAUAGGAUAUUUAUCCAUGUCUGCCGGUUAUUUUGUAAGCUUUAUAAUAGUUCUAAACCAUGCUUUUGCAGCUAUUAAUUAACUAAUGUUGUUUGUUAGUAACUACUCUUUGCAUAGCCCCUUCAAGAAGGGGGUUUCAUUUCUAUGGCUUUGCCUUAAACGCAAUUGAGACUUGAGAGUGGCCUUGGGCUCUUCUACAUUAUUUAAGAAAGGUGCUGGAAUUAAUGGUGUUACCAGAGGCGUCGCUAAAAGCAAUCGGCUAUAAUUUACUGGACCUGUCUAUGGUACAGGUUCUGUAACAAACAUCUCCCGUCAUCCCACCAUCCGAUCUUCUAUUGUUUAGUUGCUCACUCCAUAUCCAACCACAUCCAACGGCUGAUGCUGCAGUCCGUAGCUUACGGAUUAUGUAAGCUAGUCAAGCCCUAAUUUACUUGGUUGUUGUUUCGCAGCAGAGCUCGUGUUUCUUGAUGUGUAGUCUGUGUGGCCGUUGAUUUCAAAUCUUGAUUACGUAUCAUCUCUGUUCAGUUGAGUGAGCUUUUUUCUUUUUUGGUCCCCAUUGGCUACAGCCACGAAUUUGAAAAACGUAAGACAUGUCGUCAUGUAGACAAAUUUGAACGAUGACGGUGUAGUAGUGGAGCCGAUUGAGACGCGAUAUCGACUGAUUAAACUUACUUUAUAUGGGAAUCUUGUGAAAUUUUUAAUUAUGAUUUUUUAGUGUGACGACAACUUAAUUCAUUUUUCUAUAGAUGCAUGAGUUGGUUUUGAAUCUUAGUGCUUUUGAUUUUUACAUAAAAUUAUAUUAUCUCAACUAAAUAGUAUAUACAGAUUACAAAUGUUAUAAGAAUAUACUUUUUAAGUGUUGUGAGAUGUUUUCAUUACUAGUACUAACUUUCUUUUUUUUCUAAAAGAUAAAUUAAUUAGCGUCCAAAAUAUUAUUAUAAAAAUUAAGGAAAACGUAAUUUUUUUAAGAUAAAUUAAUUAAUGUUAAGAAUACUAUUAUAAAGAUAUUAAUAUGAAAAUUAAAAAAAUAUAUAACAUAAUUAAUUGUAAAGACAUUUUAAAGUAUUGUUAAAAAUAUAAGUGUUUGGUGGGGGUAUAAAAGAUAGUUACUUGAGUUCGAGAAGAAAAUUAUUUGGUCACAUGUGCAAGCGCGACCAGAAUUAUGUGAGGAGAAUAGAAUCAAGUCGCAUGGCUUUGGUUAAUAUCUCAUAUUGUUGAGCUUUAUUUGGAAGCUCAUCCGUAAUGUAUAUGCACGCUCUGCUAUAAUGUUUAAAGCACAAUCAGUUGUUAUAACGGUAGCUCAAUAACUAUAUAAAUUGAUAUAUUAACUCUUAGAUUCAAGUGGCAUACUCAAUUUGGUAAUGACCACGCAGUAAAGAACGAACAAUAAUGUGCGGCAUGCAUAGUUCUCUAUAAGAACUGGGGGAGAUCCAGAAAAGGGAUUUUUUUUGGGGUUUCGGUUAAAAAAAAAGAAUUCUGGAAAAAUACAAAACACUUAAAAUCAUGAGUGUGACAUUUUUAUUUUCCUUACAAAGAAAAACCUGAUUGCUGACUUGAGCAUUGGAAAGUUUUCGCUAGAAAAAAUUCGGCAUCCCCAACAGUUGUCUGUUGUUGCAGAUCAAAGGAAGUGUCAAUACAAUUCAAAUUUCACUACAGUAUCAAGCGACAAAUGCCCCAUCAAAAUAAAUUAAAGUGUUGGCGAGACAAUUUGGUCACCAUCAUCAGCUCGACCGGAUUUCGGCAUCAACAAUAAGAAUUAAAUAAGUAUUUAAGUUAAAAUAUAUAAAUUAAAUGAAGAGUUAUCGUAAGUUUAGGUAUCAAGUUUACUAUGGAUCUUUGAUGGAGAAAGUUACCAAAAUAAACAAAAAGUCCAAAUUUUUGUCUUCAAAAGAUAGUGCACCUAGAUUGACCCUUAUAUACUAGACGAAAGAGAUGGGAUUGAUUAUCCUUCACACAAGCUUCAAGAUAAUUCUUUUUAACAAAAAAAAAAAAAUUGUAAAAGGGAUUAAGAUGCGUACAAUACAUUUUUUUCCCCCAAAAAUGCGUAAAAUACUUGAUGAAAACAUGCAAGGCAGUGGAGUCAAACUCAAUCGAGACACGGAGUCAGUUAAUUUGAUAGUAUGGUUCACCAUUGUCGACGUCUGCAUGUUUGGUCAAUGAAUGACUCCCAACCGUUUUCCAACAGACAAACGGGUGUAGUUGGCACUAUUGGUUAUUGAUUAUUUUACAUUUUCUAAUUGAUUAUUUUAUCAGCUGCCACGUGUGGGUAAGUAUAGAAGAAUAUCAUUGAGGCUCAUUGAAAAAACAAUAAGGCAUAUGCACCUAAUUUCGCUAGACUAUCUAAUUUAACCAACCAAUUGUGGACCAUGAUAGCAUAGUCUUCUUGAUGUUGCAGCCAUUAAAUUGCCAAUCGGUGCAAGCGGGUUUUUUUUUUUUUUUUUUAAAUAGUAAAUGAUUCCAUUUCCCUUAAAACACACUAAUUACAAUAAAGUUUCGAUUUGUAUUGGGACCUCUUCGAUCCACACUCGAGGUGUCGAAUUGGAAAAAAGUCAUUUUUUGUAAAGCAUGCGCCACUAAGUUAUAAGACCUAAAAGUAUAAGCCAUCUGAUAUUGAUUAUUUUGUUCUAUCAUAACUCUAAUCUCAUAAAGUAUCCAAUCCAACUAAUGGGGAGCAGUCAUGGAAGCCACGCAAGUCCAGCAGAGGGCAUAAGCCAAAUUCCAAGUACAUGACGUGAAGCCUUGAGCCUUGCCCUUGCAUGGUUCAUGCAUGCAUGAUUACAUAUGAGAAUAACGAUCGUGCAAGGAUUGUGGAUAAUAUCAAAUCCUUAGGAUUGAGGAUAAGAUCAAAUCCUUAGUAGUAGUUGUUUAGCUUUGUGUUUCGUAAAAGUAGCAAGGAUGUUAUUUCAGUUUACGUAUUUUGAUUGCAGCCGUUAUUGUAGGAUGAGUUUGUUAUGUUUAGUAUUAUAAAUAAAGGCUCCAACAUAAUAAAUGUAGGCAGUCAAUUAAAUCAAUUCAUCUUGGUCUUUUUCUCGCCAUAAGUAGAAAAACUCUUGUGAUUGUUAGCUAACUUUGGUUGGGACCUAUUACCAACUCUCCUCUACUAGAAGUACCAUUGAGAAUAAAGUUGACAACAUUCUUGGAAUCAGACUCUAUAAGAAGGAGAAAGAGCAACAUCCGCUGCUAGCUUUAUUCCUUCUAAAAUCACUGAAGCUUUCAUAAUUUCUACAUCUCCUAAGCAAGGUUUCUUUGAUGUUGCAGCAGCCAUUACAGCUCCUUGAUAAUCUCUGAGAAUCGGUGCAAGCGGUUUUCGCUCUAAAUGCUUGCUGGUCUUCUAGAAUCUCAUACUUAAUUAACUAGAGAAGUGGACAAACCUUCACUACCAUAGGGUCACACUACCUCCUCCUUCGAAGUUCAUUUCUCUAGGAUACUUAUACUUGAUUUUUUUCUAGGGAAAGAUUCAUUGGGAUAAAAACCCAAGGAGAAGAAAUAGAAUUUAAUAACUCAUAAAAUAGCACCUAACGUGCUUUGACUGUGAUGUGAUUAUGUAAAGCACAGAGUUAUAAUCACGGACCAACUUGAAAUAUUACACUAGAAACUACUUCCACUUGGGUGAGAUAUUAUGCUCUUUAAGCAAUAAUUUCGUAUCAGUUCAAACAAUAACCUUGAUUGUGUUACUGAGUCUUAUGGUUUUUAGAUAAGUUAUUGAGGUAUAUGGCUUGUAGAUAAAUCACCGAUGAAGAAUAAUUUUCACCGAAAAAUACUAUAGGCUUCUAAUUCAGACUUUGUUGGAUUUGCCAUCUUCAAUUAAUCUUUAGGGGUUUUGGAAUCUUCAAAUGCAUGGCUUUAUAUGUGUAUAAGAAUAUUCAAAUUCUGUCUUGAUUCUGUCAGGUUUUGCUUGCAAUGUUAGUAACAAAUAAAUUUAAAUAAAAAAAAAAACACAAUAACUAGCCUCAUUUUUUUUUAAUGUAGAAGAUCUAAAUUAAUAUGACAAUGAUAGAGAAUACGUAUAAUUAAAUAAACUAGUAAAAUAAAGAGUAGGGGAUAAGAUGCUUCCUUUACCCGAGCAAUAAUCAUGUUGAUAACAUGUUAUAAUGUUGAUGAAUUUGGGUAGGAAGCAUUUAAUAAUUUUAAUAGAUAAUAUAGAUGAUAUAGAGAUAAGGGGACUGUAUGAUAUAAAUACAAAGCAUUUUUCUCCACGCUUAAUUACGGUUGCGUUUGGAAUUGAGGUUGGUCAGCUGUAACUUAAAAGUUACAGCACUAAAGUGUUUGGUAAACAUUAACUGCUAUAGCUUGUAAACUAUGUUGAUAUGAUUUUUCACUUGUAUAAUGAAAAAUUUAUUAUAUAUUUAAUAAUUUUGUCAAAAAUGAUUAUUUAAAAUGUAUAUUUAUUACAUAUUAUUAACUUUUGUUUAAUAGUUAUAAAAUUUUUUUCUCAGCAGCUGCAGCUUAAAAACUACAACACCUCAAUCCCAAACGAAACUUAAGGUGACGUUUGUUUUUUUGUUUGAAAUUUGAAUAAACCUGAAUUAAUCUGAAUUUGAAUAGAUCUGAAUGUCUGAAUCUAAAUAACAUGUUUGUUUUUUUUGUCUGAAUCUCUGAAAAUAAGUAUUAAGUUAUUUAUUUUUUUCAACUAAAAAAAUUGAAAAUACGUACUUUUACAUUUGUAUUCUUAUUAAAUUUAAAUGCCAAAUAAAUAAAUAUUAAAUACCAUAAUAUUUUAACAUAUAUAAGUAAAACUACAUUAAGGUGAAUACGUAAUGAUUUUGAAAUUUUAAUAUAUAAAAUACCAUAAAUUUCAAAUUUUAUCACUAAAAAAAGUAGCAAAGCUAGUUGAUUAGUAUAUAAGUGAAUGCUGGAAACGUAAUUGAAAUGGAAAAAAAAAAAGAAAAAAAAAAGAAGAAGGCCCAAGUCAAGUGCUUGCCUAGCAAGAAAUUAAUGGGAGAUUCAAGAACUAGAUGAGAGAAGCAAAGUGAGGAGGGAUUCCAUGACGGCUGAAAAAAAAAAAUAAAGAUGAGAUUAUAUGGGAUAAAUAUCUAUGGGUGAGUUUUGGGAUAAACAUGAAAAAUAAAUUAUAAAGUAGAGAUAUUUUUGACAUUAAAAAGUAACUGACUUAAUUCAGAUUUCUCCAUUCAGUAAAAAGCCAAAAAAAUUAACUUAUUUUAUUAAGUCAAAAUUAUCUAAAAAAUCUCAUUAAGUUAUAAAAACAAACACCUAAAAUUAAUUUAAUUAAUUAAAUUAAAUCAUUUUAAGUCAUUAAAUUAAAAUACCAUAAUAUUUUAACAUAUAUAAGUAAAACUACAUUAAGGAGAAUACGUAAUGAUUUUGAAAUUUUAAUAUAUAAAAUACCAUAAAUUUCAAAUUUUAUCACUAAAAAAAGUAGCAAAGCUAGUUGAUUAGUAUAUAAGUGAAUGCUGGAAACGUAAUUGAAAUGGAAAAAAAAAAAAAAAAGAAGAAGAAGGCCCAAGUCAAGUGCUUGCCUAGCAAGAAAUUAAUGGGAGAUUCAAGAACUAGAUGAGAGAAGCAAAGUGAGGAGGGAUUCCAUGACGGCUGAAAAAAAAAAUAAAGAUGAGAUUAUAUGGGAUAAAUAUCUAUGAGUGGGUUUUGGGAUAAGUAUGAAAAAUAAAUUAUAAAAUAGAGAUAUUUUUGACAUUAAAAAGUAACUGACUUAAUUCAGAUUUCUCUAUUCAGUAAAAAGUCAAAAAAAUUAACUUAUUUUAUUAAGUCAAAAUUAUCUAAAAAAUCUCAUUAAGUUAUAAAAAUAAACACCUAAAAUUAAUUAAAUUAAUUAAAUUAAAUUAUUUUAAAUCAUUAAGUUAAAAAACAAACGCUAAGUGUUGUCCGAUUUCAAUUCCUGCCUCACUAGAAUAAUAAGCUUAAUUAAGUGCUCAGCUCCUUAGCUUUAUAUCAUGUAGCCCCCUUAUCUCUGUAUCAUAUAUAUUAUGCAUUAAAAUUAUUAAUAUAUUCCCUACCCAGAUUUGAUCGUGCGAUCUUCAAAGUUAGACUUUUAAAAAAAGAAAAUAGUCCGCGUACCUAAACUCAAUUUUUCUAUGGGUGAAUCUGACCCGUAGGAAAAAUAGUACAAACAUCUAUUAUGAUAACGAUACAUAUGAGGACGAUGGCCAAAUAUUUUAUUUUGGUGAAGAUAAAGUUUUUUUUUGUGGAUAUAUAUUUUAGUGGACUAUUGUUAGGAAUUUUUAAUCUAUUUAAGAUCUUACAAAUUAAAAUAUUAAAUAAAAAAUAAAGAGUAAUAAUAUAGUAAUAAACUCUUGUGCAAUUUUUUUUGUACAAACUAAUGUGGCAUGAUUUAAUUAGUUGAAUUAGAUAUCUCUUGGUCAACACGAUUUGUUUUUAUUAUUUUAUAUUUUUAUUCAAUUAAUAAGUUAAUGCCAAAUCAGUUUGUACAAUAAUAAAUUUUUACAAAAAUUUGUGACUAUAGUAUCACUAAAAAAGAAAUAAACAAUAAAAUCAAUCACAUAAUAUAAUAAUUUACGUGAAAAACUCAUAUAUUAAAAAAAAUUAUGGCUACCAAGAACGAUAAGAAAAAAAUUUAUUAUGUGAAAAAUUAUUAUAAUCACUUUAAUAUUUUUCUCACAUACAAAAUACUAAUAAUACCAAAUCUUUCAAUAGAUUUAUCAUUUCUUUUGUACUAGAAACUGUUUAUUUACAGAGAAAUUAUGCGAUUUACAAGUGAACCCAACCUCUAUAUUUAUAGCGAUUAUUUAUUGUACAAGUAAUAUUCAUUUUUUUAUAGAAAUUAUAUUCAGUCAUUGAAUAAGUUAAGUCCUAAAAUAAAAAGGCUCAUUAAAUAAUAUUUUACUUCUCCUUUAAAGUAGCCACAUUAUUAAUAAAUGUUCAAAAAUUUAUACAAAAGAGAUUUUUCAAGUUAGAUUGUCAUUCUCCAUUCUCAAUAUUAAAGAGUGACUUUUAUUUUCAAUUAAUAUUAUAUUAUUUUUUAUUUCAUUAUUAUUAAAAAUAAAUAUUAUUAUUUUAAUUGAGAAAAUAAUUUAAUUAAAAUAAUAUAAAUUUAUUUUUAUUUGAAGAGUUUUUUAAAAGAUCGCUUUGUUAGGUAAACAAAUAAGUAUUUAAAAAAAUAAAAUCAGAAUAGUUUUGGCUAACACUCAUGUAGCGUUUGUUUUUUUGUCUAAAAGCUAAAUAAGUUUGAAUUUUUCUAAAGUCUGAAUGGGUCUGAAUACGAAAAUUUGAAUGACGUGUUUUUUUUUUUAAUAUCUGAAUAUAAAUGUCAUCUUAUUUGUUUUUAUAAUAAAAAAAAUCUUAAACUUAGUUGUUUGACAUUUAUGUCCUUAUAAAUUAAAACAAAAAAGAAAAUUACAUUUUAUAGUUUAAGAAAUAAGUUAUUUUAUAAAAAUAUUUUUAGAAUAUAAUAUUUACUUGUCAUUAAAAUAUUUUAUCAUUAAGAUAAAAGUCACAAAAAUUUACUUUUUCUAUUCAGAUAUAAAUAUCUAAAAAUCAGACAUAAAUUCUAAAAAACAAACAAAAAAUAUUUAAAAUUAAUAAAAUUUCUGACUUUAAACAUUUAACAAACAUCCUCUCAUUUGCUUAGUGAGCAUGGCCACUACUCACGCAGUGAAAAAUAGUUAAAAGACAUAUUUGCCCUUCGGAGCGAUGGAACAUCAGGGAUUUGUUUAUGCGCAAAAAACACAGGCUUUGCUAACUUUUUAUUCACCCCACACGAUUCAACUACCCGCAGGCUGCGGCAACAUUAGCCUAUUUUAACAAGGUUUCUGGAGAAUUGAAUAAAAAAUUAACAGGAAAAAAGAAAAAAAAUCGAAACUUGAAAAUGAAAAUCGCAGCUCCCAUUCUGCUUCUGUUGGCCUUUGCGUUCGCGCUAUCUGAAGCCGAAACGACGAGCUUGCAGCUGAAGCCUCGAGCUUUCGAGUCCUUUAACGUUAGUUAUAUUCAGGUACCGUAGUUAUUAUUUUAUCUCUCUCUCUCUCUUUUAAUAAAUUAAAAUUUUUUUUUUUUGAGUAGUUGUUGAUAAUCGUUUAAUUUUUUAACCAAAAAAUAGAACCUAGGGAGCUGUUCUUACACGGUGGUCAUAACUACCAGCUGUUCCUCAAGCAAGUACACUCGCGAUCAGAUCAGUAUUGCUUUUGGAGAUGCUUACGGCAAUCAGGUUUUCAAUUUUAUUUUUUUUAAAUUUAAAAGUAUCUUUUAAUUUCUUCAGUUUUUAAAUCAGUGUUUUUGUUCUUUUUUUUUUAAUGGUGAUUCUGGAUUUCAUUUUUAGGAAGGAAAUUGAUAAUUAGAUUUUUGUUUGCUUAAAUGGAAAGUGAUGACCAGUGAUGUAGAAAUUUUUAUGUAUUUAACUGCAGGCUUUUUAAUUUCAUUUUAUUUUUGAGAGCAGAGCAGAGAAAGUAUAUUAGGGUAAAGUUCAGUUGGCUGGAGUUAAUAAAUGCAUGGAUGUAAGAUCAGUUUGGGUUUGAAUUGCAGUGGUUUUAGUCAACAAUUGCUGUGAAAUUGAAUCACUUGUCGUUAAGUUAUAAAGUUGGCAAUUAGCAGUUGAGUAAACUUCAGUUGUGCCUUUUAAAUUAAGUUCAAGCACAACAACCAGAAAUGGGCUCGUAGUCUUAGUCUUUGCAUUGGGUUCUUUUCAUUUGAGAUCCUGUUCCUGGGCGAAAUGCUUUUGUGUUCUUGAAGGAGAUAUUUGUUUAUUUCAGCUUAACACUAUAAUACAAGUAGACCACUAUGCCUAAUUGAAAAUGUUUUGUUCAGACCCAGAAUAGUCUCAAACUUGUAAACCAUCGUUGCGGUGGGGGGCACCUCCGUAGCUCCUUGCCUUCUUCUCAUGGUUGAUGGUUUGACUGCCCAGUUUGUUGUGCUAGUGUUUUCUUUGAAUUUCCUGAGUUCACUUUGAAGUAUGCUUGGCCAGAGCACAAAUCAAACUUCUUAUGAAAGUUUAACUAUUUUAAGGGAUUUUGAGUGGAAUUCUCAUAACCUAUUAGUAGAUGUGUUGUUGCUCCAUAUUAAAUACAACUGUAAGCAAUUCUUUAUGUACUGCAUUCAUUUUGUUCCUAAAGGUCAGGUUUAUCUAGAAAUAUAAACUACACUAUUCUUAUGGUCAAAUGUGGAUAUUUUAUAUUACUAAUAUAUUUGAAACAUUUGUAAUCAGAUUUAUGCACCAAGACUUGAUGAUCCGUCUACCGAUGCAUUUGAAAGUUGCUCCUCUGAUACAUUUGAGAUAAGAGGACCAUGUGCGUAUCAAAUCUGUUAUGUGUAUUUGUAUCGAACUGGACCUGACGGUUGGAAACCAGAGAGUGUGAAGAUUUAUGGUGCUAAUUCGAGAGCUGUCUCAUUUUACUACAACACCUUUAUUCCCAGUGAUAUCUGGUAUGGAUUCAAUCUGUGCCGAAGUGCUUCUUCUGCACAUCAACAACGUGUACCCAGAUGGUCUGUGUAUGUGAUUCUGGGACUCCUCUUAUGUGCUCUGUUGUAAGCUCCCAGAUGUUUAGUGUUCGUGAUUAUAGGACUUGUCCAAAGUGCUCUGCUGUGAUCUCCCAAUUAUCAUUUGCUGUUGUUUGCGUAUCAUACAAUUACAUAUUUGCGUAUCAUACAAUUACAUAUAAUCUGCAUUUUGUUAGUUAUAGUCAGAUGUAAUCCAGGUCUAUUAUGAAUUAUCACUUGGAUUAUUUUGUGAGAGAGCAGAGCACUCAUUAAAUACUACUCUAGAAGGUGUUACCAGAUGCUUUUGUGAGAACUGUUUCUCAGAGCACUCUAUAAAAAUUUGGGAUCAUUGAACAAUAGAUUUUACUAACUUGACUAUUGCUCUGCAGUAAAUUAAAGCUGUGACCCUUCUUGUUCCUUGAAGUCUCAUGUGUGAUAGUUGAUUUUAGUUCUUGAUGUAUCAUCUCUAAUCAGUUGGGCGAGCUUGCAAAUUUGGGAAGGUUCCCCUUUGUUGCCCAUUGGCGCAAGCCACUGCCCACUAGACACUUUGCUGUGAAUGUCGACAAAUCGAGCGGGCAGGGAAUAGUCAAUUGAGACAAGAAAUAAAACUAAACUUAUUUGAUUCGGAGAAUAUGUUCACUAUCAUGAGCACCCAUAAUUUUGGGGUUUUUAAUUAAAUACCUUUAAUAAUUGUAAAAUUAUUUAAAUAUCCCUUCCCUUUUUUAUUUUCAUAGAUACCCUAACAAAUAUGUAAGAAAUCUAAAAUGCUCUUAAUGAAUGCAUGGAAUCCACUCAUUAUCACUGUCUUCUUAGUUCUUAAACUCAAAUCUCUUCUUACUGAAAUUCUCUCAAAAUCUAUUAUAAUCUCUUACACAAAUACAACUAUAUAUUCACUUCUUUUUUUUGAAUAAUUUUCGUUGACAUUUUCUACAUAGCAACAAAUACAAAUUCUUAUCACAAAUUAAGUCUUUAAAGAACUAAAUUAUUCUAAUGAAUAAUGAAAAAAGUCGUGUAAUACAUGAAGGUCGUGUAAUCGCGUAAUAUAUGAAGUCGUGUAAUACAUAAAGUUAUGUAAUAUAUGAAGGCGUGAAAGCCCCGUACAUGAUUCAAGAUCGCGUAAUAAUACAAAAAGUCAUGUCAUAUACGACUGAGGAUUGUGUAUUACAUGAGUGUAUUACACGACCUUAAAUCCUGUGUUGCAUGAUCUUACACGAUCAAAUCAUAUGUUACAUGACCUUACACAACCGAAUUAUCAUCAACACAAUCCAUCAAUUGUUCACCAUUUACAUGGAGCAAACCGUUAGAAAUUUGUAUGUUAUGAGAGACUUACAACUAAUUUAAUUUAUUUUUACAAUAUAAGGUCCUAAAUUUUUUAUUUUUCUUUAAAUAUAAAAAAAGUUAAUUACAAGGAAUUACUUUCCUAAAGUAGUUAGGUUCCAACAAUUUUGCAGUAAAAAAUCAAUUUUCGUCGCCAAUUGUGCAGUGACGAACCAAGCUUCUCUUUCUUAGUUGCAGCAGCUUCCCCUUUUCAAGCUCGGUUUGCUCAUGUGUUGAUGUCUAGUUCAACAUGUAUGAGUGUUUGUUUGAGCCAUGUUAUGUUUGAUUUGUGUAAGUGUUUUAAGAUGAUGAUAGUUUAGUAAUUUCAUGUGAGUUUUUAGAGGAUAUUCAUGAAAAUUUUGGUAAAUUAUAUUUUUAAGGUAUAGAGAUAAUUUUAAAAGUAUGAAGGUGUAUCUGCUGCAAUUACCUCCAUAAUUUUCUCUAUGUUAUCAUGGCUACUUUUGUAUGUUUUGACCAUUUUUCUUUUUCUGUAAAUAUGAAAGUUACUUGAUUGUUGGUUUACUUAAUGGCUGUUAAAGACCAAUUCCAAAUCUUAUGUGGUAUUAUUGACAAUAGUUAAAAGUUGGGGCAUCGGAAUAAUUGUUUCACCACGAAUAACAAGUGCUUUUAUGCUGUGACAUCAGCUCCGAGUACAACCGCUUUUGGAAGCAAAAAGUGUUAAAAUCUAACGGUAGAUAUCAAAACAAAAUAGGGUUUCAUAUCUGACGGUUGAGAAUCUCUCCUCUGCUAAACCAUAAAAGCAGAAACCCUAAACUCUUUGCCUCCUCUUUCUCUCCUGCUCCCGCAACUCAUUGCCACAUCAAAUUUGUAGCAGGAGACGCCCUCUGCUGUUUCUUUGUAUCUCAUUUUAAUUUUUGUAACUUAACAUAACCAUUCAUGCCUUCGAUCGCUUUGUUUGACGGAAAAGAAGUGAAAGACGAGAAGAAGAUGAAUAAGAAAAUGGCUCUCAAGGACUUCGAAGAAACGGAGGCGGCGUUAACUGAGAAGAGUUCGGAGAAGAAGAAGAGCAAGAAGAAGGAGAGUAGUAAGAAGCGGAAGGUAUCGGAGAUUGAGGAGGAGGAAGAGAGAAGCGAAACGAGCUCGGAGUUAGGCGAGCCGGUGAAUUUGAAAUCGGAGAAGGAGAAAAAGAAGAAGAAGAAAGCGAAAGUUGAGGCUGAGGCUGGAGUGGAAGAGCAGGAGAGGGGUGAAAGCGAACAUCCGAAUGCGGUUUCGAGGUUUAGAAUAUCGGUGCCAUUAAGGGAAAAGCUCAAGUCCAAGGGGAUUGAGUCUUUGUUUCCUAUUCAAGCUAUGACUUUUGAUAUGGUUCUUGAUGGCUCUGAUUUAGUCGGACGUGCACGGACCGGUCAGGUAUAAUAACCAAAUUUUGUGUAAUUUGUUAAUUUUGAUUAGCUAGUGUAAGCAUGUAAUUGUUUAGUUGUGGUAUUAAUUGUAAAAUUAGAAGAAUUAUUGAGUUUUUAGCUAAAAAUUAAAUCAUAUUUCAAUUUUUUCUGUAGUAGCAAAUAUCUGUUCGAUCAAAUACUUUUUACCUGAAUAUGAUUGUAUAUUUAGCCGUGUUUUGAACUGUGCAGGGUAAAACUUUAGCCUUUGUGUUGCCAAUUUUAGAGUCUCUAACGAAUGGGCCAACAAAAGCGUCCAAGAAGACUGGAUAUGGCAGGGCUCCAAGUGUUUUGGUACUUUUGCCUACUAGGGAAUUGGCCAAACAGGUAUGAAAUAGGAGUUAUAAAAAAGUUUAUUCAUUUUUUUUUUUGUUUGGUUUGUCUGGUGACAUUUUGUUUUUGGGUUUGUCUUAGGUUCAUGAGGACUUUGACGUCUAUGGCGGGGCAGUGGGACUGACCUCAUGUUGCUUGUAUGGAGGAGCUCCUUAUCAUGCUCAGGAGUUUAAAUUAAAGAAAGGGAUUGAUGUAGUAAUUGGAACCCCUGGACGUAUUAAGGUUAGCCAUUUACAAAAAAUUUCAGUGCUAGAAAAAUAGAAUUUUGACAUGACCUGUUGUAUUAGUUAUGGAUUUCCUGAAUAAGUAUGUGAAAGUUGGGGUAUUUUGAUUGAUCAUGUGGUUGUCAACUGAAAUUUACAUAUGGUACAGGAUCACAUUGAGAGGGGCAAUAUUGACUUGAGUUCAUUGAAGUUUCGGGUCCUUGAUGAGGCUGAUGAGAUGCUUAGGAUGGGUUUCGUUGAAGAUGUUGAACUUAUUCUGGGUUUGUAUUCUUAAAAUAGAGUAUGUGGAGUUCCCAUAUACCGGUUUUCAUAAGGCAAUUUUCAUGGUCUUUAAUUGAAAUAUGCAGGUAAAGUCGAGGAUGCUAGUAAAGUUCAGACACUUCUCUUCAGUGCCACCUUGCCAAGCUGGGUGAAGCAUGUGUGUUUCCCAAAUUUGAUUCUGGAUUAUUCCUUUCCCAAUUAUAUUUUAAAUCUUCUCAAAUUCUAAAAGUAGUUCUGUAAUAUUACAUGUCAUGACUACCUCCUUUCUGUUAUCUGUAUAACUGAACCCUUCGUCUUCCAUUUUCAGAUUUCUACCAAGUUUCUUAAAUCAGACAAGAAAACCAUAGAUCUUGUCGGCAAUGAGAAAAUGAAGGCUAGUACCAAUGUCCGGCAUAUUGUUCUUCCUUGUUCUAGUUCAGCAAGAUCUCAAGUCAUUCCUGAUAUCAUUCGUUGUUAUAGCAGGUCAGUUGUUUCUAGUUCUCAUUUACUGUUUAAUAAUAAGCGUGAUUAAUUGUUGCUCUUCACAGUUUAUUAUUUCAUUUUGCCUUAUUAGCAAUUGUGUGAUUCUUCUGAUUCAGUGGAGGCCGAACUAUUAUUUUCACUGAGACAAAGGAAAGUGCUUCUCAACUUGCUGACGUGCUGCCUGGUGCACGGGCUUUACAUGGGGACAUACAGCAAUCUCAACGUGAGGUAAGUUGUCCAGCAGGAUUCUUCUUUGGACAUGUUAUGAUGAAAGCAAACAGUCAAUCAGUUUUUGAGCUUAUAUACCGUCUCUGGCUGGCAACAUAUAUUUUCAGCACAUUCAAAGAAAAGAAUGCUUGAUGAGCCAUCCAAUGCUCAGUCUUUAAAAAUUUUGCAGUAAUCUCUCAUUUGAAAUACUGUAGUUUUGACAAGUUGCUUUAAUCAUGACUUGUGAAUGGAAGCAUGGUGGCUGCUGAAUUGUUUAUUUUAGCUAGUUGGCUAUCAAGUUGAAAUGAUUGAAAGAAACUAUCAUUUUCUGUUUGUGAGAAUCUUGUACACCAAAAAUAUUUGCUAAAGAACAAAAUUACUUGAUGUUUUUGUCUUGAUUUUUAAUAAUCAACCGUGACAACUUUAUUGAAUUUGUGAUCUUGCAGGUUACACUUGCUGGGUUCAGGUCAGGAAAGUUCAUGACAUUAGUGGCCACAAAUGUGGCGGCACGGGGCUUGGACAUUAAUGAUGUGCAGUUAAUUAUUCAGGUUUGUUUGCCUGUAUUUUUGGGAGGCUUUAUGUAAUGUCUUUUUCCGGUAUAUACUUAAACAGACCUUUGUUUUUAGUGUGAGCCUCCUCGUGAUGUAGAAGCCUAUAUACAUCGAUCUGGACGUACUGGAAGAGCAGGUAUGAAAAUGUGGCAUUUAUUUCCUGUUUUAAAUGCACACUGUUUCACGGAAUGCUGAGGUGCUUUUUUCAUAUUUCCCAUCCCCCAACCCCCAGGCAAUACUGGAGUUGCUGUAAUGCUUUAUGAUCCUAGAAAGUCAAGUGUAUCUAAGAUAGAAAGAGAAUCUGGUGUGAAAUUUGAGCACAUAUCUGCUCCACAGCCAGCUGAUAUUGCCAAGGCUGCAGGUGUGGAAGCUGCUGAAACAAUAACCCAAGUUUCCGAUAGGUAUACUUGCUAUGUCAGUUCUUUAAGAUGCUUAAGUGCUGCAGGUUCCAUGGGUCAUUAAUAUAUAUGAAUUGAUUGCAGUGUAAUUCCCGCUUUCAAGUCCGCUGCUGAGGAGCUGUUGAAUAAUUCUGGUCUAUCAGCAGCAGAGCUGCUUGCAAAAGCACUAGCCAAGGCUGUAGUAAGUGCUUUUCUUUUUUCUUCUUCCUCGAAUUCAUUGUCACUAACAUCAGGCACAAUGUGCUUUUUUCGGCUGACCUCUGAAUUUUGUAUAUUCUGAGCACUUGUUUCCUUAUUCACAGGGUUAUACUGAGAUAAAGAAUAGAUCACUUCUUAGUUCUUUGGAGGAUCAUGUUACAGUGCUUCUUGAAGCAGGAAAGCCCAUCUACACACCAUCGUGAGCUCCUAAAUUGUUUCUCAGUUUUUAUUAUAUUUGAUGUCAACAUAUUUAAAACAUUAAGAACCCUACCACUUGAUUCAUAUGGAUCUUUUAUGGUGAAGCAUAUGAAUUGAUCUAGUUAGAGGAUUAUGCAUUUGUCUGGUUUAACCUUCCAAAACUGGAUGUUGCUUUGUGAUGUCUGGAAUUGGUGUUUGGCUGAUUAUGGGCUGGUGUCCAUAGAUUGAUAUUUUUCCCUUAUGAACAUCAUGUUCUUAGACAUUUUGUGCUUCUAUUAUCAACAUUUGGGAAACAUGGACUUGCUUCUCUAGAGAUAUUGGAUUCCUCCUCUUGCUAAUCUUUGAUUGCUGAUUGAUUUGAAGAAAUUGGUUAUCUAUUAUUUGUGAAAUAAUUUGUUCUGCACUUUAUUAGUGGAAAUAGAAUUUUUCUCAGUUUGGGUGCCUAUGGCUCUUUUGUACUGCUUUACUUUGUGAGUUGAGCCAUGACAUUUUUUUUUAAUGGGAUCUGACAUCUUAUAAUAUCAUGAAUUAUAUUGCAGCUUUGCUUUUGGUGUCUUGAGAAGAUUCUUGCCUGAGGAAAAAGUAGAGUUAGUGAAGGGUAUGGCUCUCACCGCUGAUGGAAAUGGUGCGGUUUUUGAUGUACCAGUGGCAGAUUUGGACUUGUUUCGCUCUGGUACUUGACUGUUUUAUAAUUUGUUCAGGAGUUAUUAAACAUAUUAAUGUAAUUAUUUGUGGUGUUUCCUCAACCUGGUUCCUCGUUUGCUCUCAAAUAGAGUAUUUUCUUGAUCACGGUUUUGAUUGUGCUAUUCUCAUGAAAUUGGUUUAGUUUUCUUCUUUAAUUUCAAAUUUUCCUUUUGUCGCAGGUGCGGACAAUGCUGCUAACGUCAGCUUGGAAGUGUUGAAACAACUGCCACCCUUGCAAGAAAGGGAACAGUCAAGAGGAAGAUUUGGUGGUGGUGGUCGUGGUGGCUUUGGUGGAAGAGGUGGUAACAGGUUUUCAGGUGGCAGAGGUGGUGGAUUUUCUGAUAGGAGAAAUGAUAGGUUCUCCGGUGGCUCUAGAGGUAGUAAGGGUCGUGGCGGCGGCAACAGAUGGUGAAGGACUUCAGCUGCUACUAAUCUUGUUCUGUUCAGUGACAGAAGUAUUUAUGGUAUAGGCAAAUUAAUUUUCUGAUAAUGAAGAAAAUAUAUGGGGCUGUAUCCAUGGAUUUCAUCCCUAGAUUGGCUCGAUAUAGUAUUUUUGCCCCCCUUUUUUUCCUCCCUUUAUUUUUUUAGGGUUAGGCCCAUAUUUGUUCAGGUUCUUGGGGUUUAUAACUACUCCCCAUGAUCCUUAAAUUUUGAUGAUAUUGUAAGAAGACGAUUACAGAUUUCUUCUAAUUUAAGCAGAAAAAAUUAGUGCAUUCUUGUUUUUGUUGUAAUCAGAAGGAGCCGAGUUGUUGUGAAAGUUUGGUCCAAAAUUUCUGCGAUUCGAAAAAUCAAAAUUUGCUCAAAUUGUAAUGUUUUUGAGUGAUGUAAACAGACCUCCUUGGAUAUCUCCGAUAACGUUUUUGGCUGCUUACCAUUUAGCAUUAUUUAUUUAUUUAUUUGCAUAUUGCUAUUUUCAAAUAAACAAGAACCCUAGGGAAACAAAACAGCAGUUUUGGAAGUAAAAUGUUGUAGUUCAAGCGGCCAUUCAUGUUAUGUUGCUGAGGGGACGCCACCAUGUGCUGUAUAAUUUAUAGUUAAUCUAGGGUGUGUUUGGGAUUGAGGUUGGGCAGCUGUAGUUUAAAAGCUACAGCACUAAAGUGUUUGGUAAACACUAGUUGUUGUAGUUUUUAAGAUAUGUUGAUAUGAUUUUUCACUUGUAUAAUAUAAAAUUUAUUAUAUCUUUAAUAAUUUUAUCAAAAUUAUUAUUUAAAAUUUAUAUUUAUUAUAUAUUAUUAACUUUUGUUUUAUAAUUACAGUUUUUUUUUUCACAGCAGCUGUAACUUAAAAGCUACAACACCUCAAUCCCAAACGCACCCCUAAUCAUAGCUAGUGAUACCACACGUAGUAGUGUUCAUUUGCCUGGUGGUCGUAUAAUCAUCACAUAUGCAAGACCAAUUCUAUUCCAAUAUUAAUAUUAUAUUCAGGUCAGCAAUGCUACAUAUAUUAUUGUGUUGUGCAAUUUUGUAAAUUAGAGGAAAAUUGAUUUUGUUAUUAUAAGGUCUAAUUCGGCGCUCAUACAAUCACCAAUGUGCACAAUUUUGCUUUAUAAAAUGACAAAAGAUUUUACCUACAUAUUUUUAUCAUUUAUAAUUUAAUUAAUAAGGUUUUAUCUUUCUAUCACCCAAUAAUGGUUUAGUUAUACAUACACCAUUCUCUUAUUAAUUUAAUUAAUAAGGUUUUAUCAUUAUUUACUUUUUUUUAAGUAAAUAGUUUAAGUUUAAAUUGAUGCCUCACUUUUGACUCUUGUGACACAUUCACCCUUAACUGCCUUAGCAUUUCUUGCGCACCAAUUCAAUGACAUGCAUGCGCCCAUUUCACAUGAAGAGAUCCGAUUCAAUAGCCGACCCGGAAAAGACCCGACCGAACCCACCUGUCGACACAAAAACAGUCCCAUCGUUUCUCUCUUCUAGACACGUCUACUCUAUUCUACACUAAACUCUCCUACAUCUCUUCCCUUAAGCAUUACUUGAUUCUUAAUUGCAUCGUGCAUGUUUACGAAUAAUCAUACGCAUGGCUUAUUACAGAAGAGCAAAAGCCGCUCUCGAUGCCUUUCGCAAUCUUUCUUCGAAGGCUGUUCCUAAAUCUCCGGUCCAAGAAUCUUGCUCAAGAGUUUACUCAAAUGGGUCCGCAAAUUCAGCUAAGUUUUCUUUUGGGUUUUAUUCAUAUUCUUGUAUUUCUCAAAGACUAAGAAAUAGUUAUUGUAAUCCAAAUUUUAACCCUGCCAAGAGAUAUUACUAUGUAGAUCGUUACCAUGUACAACAUUUUAAUCCACGAGGACCAAGAAAAUGGUUGCAGAAUCCAAGAACUGUGUUUAUUGUUGUGGUUAUAGGUUCUGGGGCUUUUAUCACUUUGUAUUUGGGGAAUCUUGAGACCGUACCGUACACUAAACGAACCCAUUUUGUGCUUUUGUCCAAAGCUGUGGAGAGACAGCUUGGUGAGUCUCAGUUUCAGCAAAUGAAAGCUGCUUUUAAGGGCAAAAUAUUGCCUGCGAUACACCCGGAUAGUGUGAGGGUUAGAUUGAUAGCGAAGGACAUAAUUGAGGCUUUGCAAAGGGGGUUGAAGCAUGAGACUGUUUGGAGUGAUAUGGGGUAUGCAUCUACUGAGACUGAUUUUGUAAAUGAGGGGAGAGCAGCUCGUGAUACAUUAAGGGCGUUGAGUGAGAAUAGUGAAAGGGGAAAGACUGAGGGGAAAUGGCAUCAGGAAGAUGAGAUUCUUGAUGAUAAGUGGGUUCAGCAGAGUAGGAAGAAGGGACAAGAGAAGGGGUUACAGUCGGCGACUUCUCAUUUGGAUGGAUUGAAUUGGGAGGUUUUGGUCGUGAAUGAGCCUGUUAUUAAUGCUUUUUGCCUACCUGGUGGAAAGAUUGUGGUCUUCACAGGGUUGCUAGAGCAUUUUAGAACUGAUGCGGAGAUAGCAACCAUUAUCGGUCAUGAGGUAUAGAUAUAUUACUGGAUUUAUACUAGAUUGAUAAGGAUGCGUUCAUGGUUUAUGCCUGAUUUUCUAAUUAGGUUGCACAUGCUGUGGCCCGACAUGCAGCCGAGGGGAUUACAAAGAAUCUGUGGUUUGCCAUUUUACAGCUGAUUCUGUAUCAAUUCGUUAUGCCUGAUGUUGUCAACACAAUGUCAACUCUUUUCUUGAGGCUUCCUUUCUCGCGCAAGUAUGUUUCUUUGUUUAUUCUCUCGAACAGUUUUUGGAAUUUGUGGGCAUGUUUGCUUGUUUUUGUGAUAUGAUGAUGUUUAAAAAUGACAAUUAGGCUGUCUAUUGAUUAACGCUCUCAAUCUUGUUGAGAAAAUGGCUGUAUAGGAACCUAGUGGAUUAGCAUGACACAUUCUUUUUACCAGUAUUUUUUAUUCUUUUUUGUUUCACUUAUGUCUUGCGGCAAUGAAUAUGUGUCAGCUUUCAUCCAGUGCUCUUAUUACCACUUACCCAAAAACCCAAAAAAGAUUACCCAAAAAAAAGGUUUUAGAACUUCUGAUGCGAUAACAUUAUGAUAGGAAUUUCUCACAUCUCAACUGUCAUUUGGCAUAUUAUCUUACCUGAUCUGGGGAAAGCCUUCUGUCUUAAUUAGCUUAUGGAUGAUUUGCAUCAGAAGAAGGGUUCUUCUAGGGACUAUCCCUUUUUUUUUUCAUUGGGAUUUUUAUGCUUUGUGUCUAUAGAAAGGAGUAAAAUGUUUUUAAGGAGUAGAAGUGUAUCCUUAGACUGCUGCGGGAAGAAUUAGUUCUCUUGUAGCUUUUUGAUGCUUGGGAUUCUACAGUUUAUAGAACAAGGAUUUAAUAAUGAUUCACAGUAAUAGUAUGCAAAUAUGUUUAGAUAACUGUUAAUCUUGGCUGUGUCAAAUUCGUCCUCUAGUCUAUUUCUAAUAUCUCACACAAAUAUUAAGUAGAACUGGACUGUAAGACUUCUGUGAGUCUCAUACUGGAAUUUACAGCUUCUUUUGUCAUUUUCCUGAAGCUUGUUGUGAACAUUUAUCACGGUGUUCUGCUCUGUAACAGUCAUCUGUUUAUGUUCCAUUUGUAGGUUUGGAUUGUGAUUCUUAUAUUUAUUUAAGUACCAUUUGGAGCCGAAAGCUUGCCAGGUAAUAAACACUAAAAACUGGAAGAGUUUUUGAUAAUUUACCCUCGGCCAUGAUUAUAAAAAGAAGAAGCUAUUAAACUGUUGUGAGUGGUCAACAUAGGACCCUUCUGAAAUGUCCUUGAAACUAUUCAAGAAACGUAUUGCUGAAACAAAGUUGUCAUAGCUCGAGUAAAACUUGACUUCAACCAAGCUGAUCCUUGGUAAGAUUAUCACGUUGCAUAGAGUUCAAAAAACUUGCUCUUGAACUCAAGACUAGGACGUAACCUUUUUCUCUAAUUUUUCUAGAAAAAGUUAUUGUGAUAUAUAUAUAAGGCAUAUGAUGUUAUGCAUACGACCACUACACUAAAGCUCCUGGGUGAAUACUCUGGAGGUCUGAGUUUGUUCCCAGAAAGUAAAUGAGUUUAACAUUGAGUUCAAGCUAGGUUCCUCUGUUAGGUGAAUUGAUCAGAAUCAAAAUCUUGUCGAGCUUGAAUACAAAUAGUUGAGAGCUUGGUUUAUUUAUAUCCCAAUUUUGUUUGUAGUUGAUCAAUCCCAUUAAUAGUAAAUCCAUAGCCCUAAGAGACUUCCUCUAGUAUACCAACAUUUAGUUGAGAGAGUAAAACAGGCAAUCUUCCAGUUCGUAAGUACUCUGCCUUCAAUAAAAAAAAAAGUACUCUGCCUAGUCUUGCUUUUUUAUUCUCUGGGUGAAAUAUAAUUUUCUUCAACUCAUUAUCUUGCUGGGAGUCAUUGAUUCACUCGAUCUGCUUUGAGCACUCAUUCAGUCCACUGAACCUUAUGUACUUGUUUACCUGUAAAACUUUAGAGUAGUCGUCUGACAUUGUGCUCUAUGCUGUCCGGUAGGUCUAAUUUAGUUGCACUCAUUUUGUAAGAUCUAUUUCUGGAUGGAGCACUGAUAUUUGAACCCCAUCAAGACAAAAAAGGGAUACUGUUCAUACUAUAGUAUCACUAUAGCACAUAGAAUGAUAGCACUGUUCAAACAACAGUUCCAUCAUUUCUGUCAUGAUAGUGUUUUGUUGGUGGCCAAUAUCAUUUUUCAUUCUGGAUGAGGAACAUCCCUCUGUUCAAACAAAUUCUGCAAAUGUUAAUUUUUUAAUUCCCUUUUUUUAUGAAGAUGCUUUUGAGAUGGUUUCUUGUCAUUCUAUUGAACAUUUAUCUCUAUUACUCUAUACAUCCUCUUACUUUAGUUUUGUGACUUUACUCAACUUUGUGAUGUACUUACUUACAUUGUUGAAACUGACUAGUUUGUGUUCAACACACAGACCAAGAUCGCAAGAUGCAUUUGAAAAUCUCUUGUCUUGCAAGUGCUGACUCAGUAUUAUCUACUGUCUUAUCUGAUAGGAUGGAAAUGGAAGCAGAUUAUAUAGGGCUGCUUUUGAUCGCGUCCUCUGGCUAUGAUCCUCGUGUGGCGCCUAAAGUUUACGAGAAGUUGGGUCAAAUUGCAGGCGAUUCAAAGCUAAGAGAUUAUCUUUCUACCCAUCCAUCUGGAAAGAAGAGAGCUCAGUUACUGGCCCAAGCUAAAGUCAUGGAGGAAGCACUCGCCAUCUACAGGGAAGUGAGAGCAGGAUAUGGGAUUGAAGGUUUUCUUUAGGGCACCACAAACCACACGUGCUCUGAAGCCGUGUUCUCCCCCAGUCACCGUUUUCACAGAAUUUUCUUUUUCGUCGAACCUUUUGAUUUGCUAGUUUUUGGGUUUUGCCCUUCACGUGGUCAAGAAAUUUACGAUGAUGAUGUUUUCUGGCCAUGGAGAAUGAUGCAUGUCAUUGACCAUGGACCUUAGACAUGUCAGAGAUACCAAACCUGUUAUGCAAAAGAAGUGUUAUAUAUAUGAGGGUUUUUCAUCUAUAUGUAAUUAUGAUGAAAUAUUCGAUCAAAAUGCUUACAGCAAUAUGCUGCAAAUCCAGGGAUCAAUCACUGAAUCAUCAUUCUACAUCCAUAAGCAGAAUUUACGAUAAACAGUCACUCGUCAACAUCUCUUGCAUUUUGAACUAACAGUAACUGAAAUGAAACCAAUAUAAUUAGACUAAGUGCUUGAUUUGCAGCCUUCUUAAGUUACAUGACAAGAACAAUAAAUUGAUCAACCUUUGAAAAUUUGAUGAAAAAUAAACAAAUCAUGUAUAUUAUUAACAGAAAAAAAAUACUGUCUCUAAUAUAUUGAAAUUAUAAAUUUGUCAUGUAGUUAGGCGUUCACGCUAGCAAUCUCUAAAUUUUUGAAUUUUUUUUUAAAAUAAGGUAAAAAUUAAAAACUUUUCCGGAUGUCACUAAAUUUAUUUUUCAAGGCAAGCCCCCAAUUUUAUUGACAUCUAUAUGGUAAUUUGCAACAGAGCUAUAUUCUUUUUGUGAAAUAACAAAAAGAAGUCGGCUUCUCAUGGUUCACUUAAUCCGUCGCCAGUGUCAAUGUCCAAGAAACUUCAAAUGGUCAGUUAUUCAUUGUUGAAUUCUCCCGCCAAAAUUUCACCUCCUAACAAAGAAUCCACUAAGCUUAUUCUCAGAAACGCAAUCGAUGAAUGCAAGAGCAUGAGAGAGCUAAAAGAGAUACAUACCCAAAUCAUAAAAUCUCCAUGUCUACAAACAAACGAUCACCAUUCCCUCAUUACCCGCCUCCUCUUCUUUUGCGCCUUAUCUGUUUCUGGCUCUCUAAGCUACGCCACCAAUGUUUUUAGUCACAUAAAAAGGCCUGAUCUUUAUGCAUAUAACAUUAUGAUCAGAGCCAAUGCGUGUAAAUCCAGUGAAACAAAUGGUACCCAUUCGGGUAAAUGUCUGAAACUGUACAAGCAAAUGCUUUGCACUGGCAUUUCACCUGAUUGCCUCACGUUUCCAUUUCUUUUAAAAGAAUGUACUAAGAGGCUUGAUGGUCUUGUAGGAGCUAGUGUUUACGGCCAAGCUGUUAAAUUUGGAGUGUGUGAUGAUGUUUUUGUGCAAAAUUCUGUAAUAAGUUUGUUCAUGGCUUGUGGGUUUGUGACUAGUGCAAGGAUGUUGUUUGAUGAAAUGUCGAAUAGAGAUGUGGUUUCUUGGAAUGCCAUGAUUAUUGGCUAUUUGAGAAGUGGGGAUCUCGAUGUCGCAUUGGAUUUGUUCAGGAGGAUGAAGAAGAGAAAUAUUUUUUCUUGGAAUUCGAUUAUUACGGGGUUUGUUCAAGGCGGCAGGGCAAGGGAGGCAUUGGAACUUUUUCAAGAAAUGCAAAGUUCAAGUGUUGAGGAAAUGGUUAAACCAGAUAAGAUUACUAUUGCUAGUGUACUUUCGGCUUGUGCUUAUCUUGGUGCUAUUGAUCAUGGAAAAUGGGUGCAUGGUUACUUGAGGAGAAGUGGACUUGAUUGUGACGUGGUUAUUGGCACAGCGUUGGUUGAUAUGUAUGGUAAAUGUGGUUGUGUGGAAAGAGCUUAUGGAGUCUUUAAGGAAAUGCCUAAGAAGGAUACCUUGGCAUGGACAGCAAUGAUUUCUGUGUUUGCGCUUAAUGGGUAUGGCAAGGAGGCUUUUGAUACUUUUAGGGAGAUGGAAGCAGAAGGGGUGAGGCCGAACCACGUGACAUUUGUUGGGCUCUUGUCGGCUUGUGCUCAUUCUGGUUUAGUAGAGAAAGGUCGCUGGUGUUUUGUCAUGAUGAGGCAUGUUUACUUGAUGGAACCACAUGUCUACCACUAUGCUUGCAUGAUCGACAUUCUUAGCCGAGCUGGUCUCUUUAGUGAGGCAGAGCGGCUUAUAAGAAGCAUGCCAAUGGAGCCAGAUGUGUUUGUUUGGGGUGCAUUGCUUGGGGGCUGUCAAAUGCACGGAAAUGUGGAGUUAGGCGAAAAGGUAGCUCAAUAUUUAAUUGAUUUGGAUCCUCUAAACCAUGCUUUCUAUGUGAACUUGUGUGAUAUGUAUGCCAAAGCUGGUAGAUUUGAUGAUGUAAAGAAAACUAGAAACUUAAUGCAAGAAAGAGGAAUUAGAAAGGAAGUCCCUAGCUGUAGCUUGGUCGAAGUAGAUGGGGUUGUUCAUGAAUUUUCGAUGAAAGGGUCGCCUAAGGUUGUGAAAGAGGAGCUUGUGUUGAUCUUGAAUGGAUUAAAUAAAAUUAUGAAGAAUGGAGGUUAUGGGCAGUAUAUCAGAGGGUUAUCGAUGGAGGCACAGGUUUCAUGACGAGGUUGCUGAUCUUCCAGCAAAUUAUUAACUUAUUUUUGAACUGGGAACCAUCAAUUAUCUAUGAAUGUUCACAAUCUUUCUACGUAAACCUUUGAGCAUAUACCUGAGAGGAAUUUCUUUUUUGGAAGAAAUCUCAAAAGGAUUUGUGGAGUUUGCCUUAUUCUCUUUGACGACUUCAGGUAAACGUAAGACUCAAAAUUCAGAGAUCAUAUACAAACAACCAUUCUUGUUACAAGUUUACAUUAGAAGUACUCAAUCUAACUGGGAAAUUCUGUAAAUCAAGAUUUUGUAGAAGUUAUUACAUUUUUUAAAAUUAUCUUAAUUUUCUAGUCCCAAAGAUUCUAUCCUAUAUUUGUCAAAUAUUAAGUGUGAAAUAUGUAUCUAUUAAAUGCAUGGACUAAAAUUUAAUUGUUCACUCUAAAUACAUGUACUGAUAUAAGAUCCAUAUAUGCUACCUAAUCAACAGAUUUUGUGUUCAUGCCUUUGAUAGUCCAAAUAUAUCAUUAAUCACUCUGACCUGUGCUAUCUUCCAAAUGGUAAUUAUAAUAUAUCUGAUUGUUUACAGUUUGAUCCCUUAAUGGGUGCAAAUCAACUGUUUAUAUUAAUGAAUUCCUUCGUCAAAAUCAAUCACUUUCAUUUGUUUGAAUACUAUUUACAUCUCAAAACAUAACUAAUAGAAUAAAAUCAAAUAAUCAAACAUCAGCUGAGGAUGCACGCUACGCUGAAAACCAACUUCUAUAGGUAAUGCCAAGCGGAAGAAAAGCUUUUAUAGAAUAUUAUGCUGAAACUGCAAUUCAUCGACGGUCCCAAUGAGCAAAUUUUGAGUAUAUGGCAUUUUCGAGUAUAUCCCAUGUGUCCAUUUAUAUCUUUAUGCUAACGAUGCUUUCUAUAAGAAAUUAAAACCUACAACUCUUACUAAAAAUCAGUUUCUAGAUCAUAAGUAGAAUGUUUUCUACUAUGGGUGCUCUCCUUUUUGCUUCUCCCAUGAUUUUCUUGCUUUGGGGAUUAUUUGUUUCAGCCUCUAUUGUUUCGACCAUGUUUGGGGUUCUAAUCUUCUUGGUGGCACUAUUCACUUUUAAAUAUCUAUUAUUUUACAUAAAAGAAUUGAUCUCUGAGGAUCAACGGCCUCCAGUUGCAGGUCUAAUGUUAAAUCUGCUCAUACACUUUUCUAGACUUUUUGAUUACCAAACGUCACUUGCUAAGAAGUAUCGUACUUUUCGUUUACUUCAACCAUUCUGUAGUGAAAUUUUCACUACCGAUCCAGUUAAUAUUGAACAUAUUCUCAAAACUAACUUCUCCAAUUAUGGAAAGGUAAUAAAAUUCCAUGAGCUCACUAAAAUUUCUUUGCUGUUUCAAAAAUGAAAAAUGGCUUUACUAGUCAGUUGAUUUUGAAAUUUGGAUGUCAUGAUAUUUCAGGGUGACUAUAACUGGAAUUUGAUGAGAGAUCUCUUCGGUGAUGGGAUAUUUGCGGUGGAUGGAGAUAAAUGGCGCCACCAAAGGAAGCUUGCAAGUUAUGAAUUCUCAACAAAAAUCCUGAGAGAUUUCAGUUCUGCUGUUUUUCGAGCUAAUGCUGAAAAGUUAACUUCAAAAUUUUCUGUUGCAGCAGCAGCAAAACAGGCUAUAGAUAUGCAGGUUUCUAUUUUACUAGAAUUGAUAUCUUUGUGCUUGUUAUAUAGUUGAUUGGGUGGUUUCAAAGAUAUACUUCUAAAUAGAAAUAUAUUAACAACUUUCUGAAGUUUAAUGACUGCAGUUCAUGAAAAUUAAGGAAACCAUUUUUAAAGAAGUUCUAGAAUGAAGAGCUAACUGCUCCUUAUUAGAAGUUAUGAGGUGUUGUCACCAUCAAGCUUGAGAAAUCAUACUCUGACAAAGAUGAAAUAUGCUGAAAUGAAAUAUAUCACUACUUGGAUCUUCAAACUCAGUAUUCCUUGAAUUUUAUUUCGAGCCCACCUUAAGUUUAUACAACUCACACUCGCUAGUGGAUUUACUUUUCCUUGAAUUUUGCAGGAUGUGCUGUUAAAGUCCAGUCUAGAUUCAAUAUUUAAGGUCGGGUUUGGAGUCGAGUUAAAUUCUCUAUCUGGUUCGGAUGAUUUUGGAAAUCAGUUCACGAAGGCCUUUGAUGACUCCAACUUUAUUGUGUACUGCCGAUAUGUUGAUGUAUUCUGGAAACUCAAACGGUAUCUUAACAUUGGCAUGGAAGCCUCCCUCAAGCGAAACAUCAAACUCAUUGACAACUUCAUUUUUGAACUGAUUCGUUGCAAGAGGGAGCAGAUGAAAAAUGUAGAGCUUGAUGUGAGUAAUUUUUUCUUGAAUACUGAUGCAUUUUUCUAUAUUUAGUACAUAUUUUCUGAAAAUUUUCUGCAGAGCAGAGGGGAAAAGAAGAUAUACUAUGAAGGUUUUUGCUGGAGAGUGAGAAGGACCCAGAAAGCAUGACUGAUAAAUAUUUGAGAGACAUCACUCUCAAUUUCAUCAUAGCAGGUAAAGAUACGACUGCGAACACAUUGACUUGGUUCUUUUACAUGCUCUGUAAACAUCCUUUGAUUCAAGAGAAGGCUGCACUGGAUGUGAGAGAAGCAACUGAAGCUCAGGGCAACUUAUGUGCUGAUGAAUUUGCAAAGUUGGUGACUGAAGCUGCCUUGGAGAAGAUGCACUAUCUUCAUGCCGCUCUGAGUGAAACACUCAGAUUGUAUCCAGCUGUUCCUGUGGUAUUUUCUCGUGUCACUAACAACUAUUUUAUUUUCACCGAGCCUAAUCUCCUUUGGUCACCAGCAGCUACUAUAUGUAGGCACAAAGGACUUCUGGUCCUUCCAUGACCUUUAACUUUUUCCUCCUAAACACAAAAGAUAUAACUGCGACGCUUCAUGUAUGAAUCCCAGCUUUUACUAUGAUUAUACAUCAUGUAUGAAUCUCAAAUGCCUCCCUCAAUGUAAUAACUUUCUCAUUGAUCAACCAACGAAAAAAAAAAAAAGGGAACACAAACUAGCAAACCCCUCGACCCAAGAAAUGUGAGAGUGAAAGGGGAGUGGGUGCGGGGUAGUGCUAGGCAUUAGCUCUUGAAACUGUUUGCCAAUGUUAUUCUAAUGACUUGUAAAAAGCAGAAGUGUUUACCCUUUCCUCUUAUAGAACGCCAAUUAAAACUCAUUGCAGGAUGGAAAAAAUGCAGCAGAAGAUGAUAUUCUCCCCGAUGGUUUCAAAGUAAAGAAAGGGGACGGCGUGAACUACAUGACCUACGCCAUGGGUAGGAUGACCUACAUUUGGGGUGAGGACGCAGAGGAAUUCCGCCCAGAAAGAUGGCUUGUUAAUGGUGUUUUCCGAUCAGAAAGUCCUUAUAAGUUUGUCGCAUUUCAGGUCUAUAUAUAUAUGACAUUUUUUCCAUCUAAAUUUACAAUCGCCUGAUUCAUCUUACUCAAUGGCUCUUUUGUUCUAUUAUAGGCCGGCCCUCGAAUUUGCCCCGGAAAGGAAUUUGCUUACAGGCAAAUGAAAAUCUUGGCAGCUGUUCUCCUCCAAUUCUUCAGAUUCAAACUUGUGGAUGAGACUAAGGAAGCUACUUACAGAACCAUGUUCACACUUCACGUGGAUAAAGGGCUCCAUCUAUAUGCUUAUCCAAGAUAGUAACUUUGGAUUAUUUAUUAAAAAAUGUGAAAGGAAUAUUUAAAAUAGUAGUCUUUUAAAAUUAUAUAUAUUUUUCUGGUUUGAGUUGUGUUACUCGUGAUAGAAAUUUUAAUAGAAUCAAAUCCAAAUUUAAACUGGAAUAAAGAAUUCUAAAACUACAUGGUUUAUUUUGGAUAUAAGUUUUGGAAUAUAAAUUUAACUUUUGCAAUCUGUCAGUUUUGCAUGUGUCAAUUUUUUUUUGGCUUGGCCACUUCAUUAUCGUAUUAUUAUUACGAAAAAAAAAAAAAAAAAUCUCCCAAGGCAUUUCGGGAGAGGAACGAGUACUACCUAUGUAAUUGCAACAUCGGAAAUUUCAAUUGCAGUUAUGCUUUAUCACUUUAUGCUUUUUGUGAACUUUUUAUUACAUAAGACAAACAGAUCAUAUAACAUCAGAACAUGGGCAUGGCCCUCCAACACAUGCAAACAGAAAGAGAAAAAGGUUCAUGUAGAAGCCACACGUGAUUCAAGUUACUGACUGCCGAUUUGGGUGCCAAUAAGGGUCAAAAUGCAAGCCAAUUGAAGAAAUUAAAGGCACUGCCCUCGAUUCCUUUAUUUUGAUCCUCACAACGUGCCCAUCUAUCACUCCAUUUUCAAGCCUGUGAAGUUUCUUGUGCCCCACUGUGGUUCCUUCUGCCACUAACUUACCAUCCACAAAAAUUUCAUGCCGUUUGAUUCUUUGACCAAGCCCAAUUGGCUCUUGAAUCCUGAUCACAUUGAAUCUCAGCCCUUCAUCCGCUGCCCUAAUUUCAAUCCAGUGGUCAUCACUUUUUCCAUCACCAUCUCUUGGAGCCCAAUAUGUCCGCAGAUGAUCAUCAUCUAGCACAUUUUCGGGUCCAAAGCCACCACCUUUGCCUGCUCUUUGGCUACUAGCUUUCACAAAGCAAUUUUCAGCUAAAUUUUUAGAAAAUAUUGUGUCGAUUGCUGUUCGAAAUUCUCUCAAUCUCUGAACAUCAGUUUCGGAUAUCAGCCCGGUUGUAUUGGGCGGCACAUUGAGCAGCAUCACACAAUUUCUUCCCACCGAGUUAUAGUAAAUCUCAAGAAGCUCACUCAAUUUCCUGGGUGUUUCGGAUUUAUGCCAAAACCAUCCCUUUCUAAUUGAAACGUCACAUUCUGCUGGCAACCAAUCUGUCCCUUUCGCAUCGCCAGUGCUUAGAUAGCUGCAAAAUUAUUAAUAAAGCUGUUUAAUUAGUUCCCAAUCAGCUCAGCCGAACCGAAAAAGUGCUCAUUUUUUGAACUUUUGUUUCACGUGCACACUCAACCAAUUGAGAUAACAACAAAAAAUAAAGUCACUUUGCGAAUUUUCGCUUCUAGUGUUGACAAUUGCAAUACAUAGCCAAUGGAGAGUAGAAAUUGUGAUCCCACUAAUCAACCCGAUGGUGGGUUCAAAUAGAAUUCAUUAGUGGGAUGUAUAUUUUUGUUCAAAAAAAUAAAAUAUGAGCAUAAUGUUUAAUGUGAUAUUGUUUAGUAUAGGACUCCAAAUCUUACAUUAGAAAAUCUUAUCCCUUUAAGUUUUUGUUUUUAAUUCUCAACUAAUAAUAAUAUUACAUUAAAAACAGUGUCAGGAGCGAAAAAUUUAAGAAUAUAACGUAACAAGAGAGAAGAUUGUUAACUUAUUUUUUGAGGAGUUUCGGAUGAUAAUAUUUGUUGAAAAUUACUGUCAAUAUUUUACUAUAAACCUUUUGAAACGCACCGAUUUUGCUACCAAUAAUUCACAAUCAAAAGCGACAAGUAAACCACUAUGUCAAUUUCAAUAGACACCGACAUCACACAAAAGUUCAUGUGAAGAUAAUGGCUUAAAUAGAAGCACUCACUCAACAAUGCUUCCAUUUCCGAUUGACAGUGAAGUUCGAUUUAUCGUGGACCAGCAAGUGCUUCCGGCGAAGCCCUUUUCAUUACCAACCCAUCUAACGUCGGGACCGGCGUCGGAGAAAAUGUUAAUUGAGCUCUGCAACUCCUUCACCAUCGCAAACCAAUCUGUAAAAUAAUAUGACAUGUUUGGCGCAUUUGAACCUUUUGCUCCAUCAAACCAAAUCUCCCUCACAUCCCCAUAUCUUUAAAACAAAAAAAAUAUAAAAUCACAUGUCAAUUAAAUUACAUAACAACAAGCGAAUUAAUUAAUUAACCAUCUUUUUUUUUUAAUGAUACACACCUUGUGAGCAAUUCUUGCAACUGAGCUAAAUAAUAUUCAUUGUACUGCAAGUCAUGACCAUAUCUUGGAUCAUGGCGAUCCCAGGGUGAUAAAUACAACCCCACAUCGACUCCACGGGCCUUAGCCGCAUUGACAAGCUCUUGCACGACGUCGCCGCGUCCAUGUUUCCAGGGACUAUGAGCCACAGAAUGCUCAGUAAAUUUCGAAGGCCAAAGGCAAAAACCAUCGUGGUGUUUUGCUGUCAGAAUCAUCAGCGAAACCCCAGCUUCAGCCGCUGUGUUAACCCACUGGUUUGCAUCUAGCCCCACGGGAUUGAAUAUCUCAGGAUUUUCAUUGCCGGUGCCCCAUUCUGAGUCAGUGAAUGUGUUCACUCCGAAAUGAAGAAACAUUAUCAGCUCCCUUUGCUGCCAUUUGAGUUGUGAAAAUGAAGGAAGUGGUGACAGAGGCAAUGGUGGUGUUGGUACUUGUUCACGUUUUGAACUUGCUAAACUUGUGAGUUGAAACAAUAUUGUUAUUAAGCACACAAAACAACAUAGCUUAGGCAUAUUAAUCUCCUGGGGUUAUUGUUUUAAGUUUAAUCUUCUUCUGGUUUCUCUCUAUCUUAUAUGUUAAUGAAUGAUUGAGAGAAACAAAAGAGAUGGGUUUGAAUGAUAAGAUAGGGGACCAAACAAAGAAGGGUGGUAGAUUCUUUGAACGUAACCAAGCCAAAAGAGAAACAAAAGCUGACAAUGUGUUAUCUUUUGAUUCGAAUUUUGUUUGAUUCUUUUCUUUUUUUGGUUUUUCAAUUGUUUUGCUGUGGCGAUGAUUCACGAGUUGGCAAUUAAUUGUGUAUUACCUCUAAUAAUCCCCUCAGGUUUUCGUGUGAAGUGCAUAAUAUAUAUAUUGUAAGUCAAGCGUUAGAAAUGAAAAUUUUAAGCGACGAGUAAAAGUACCGUAGGAGUAAAACAAAACAUUUGAAAAUUUUUUCACGGAAUAAUUAAAAAGCCAGCAUUUUAGUUGCAAUCAGUAUCAAUUUGGGCCGUGUAUGGCAUGGAGGAGCUGUAAUAAUUUUAACAAAAAUAGUAAAAAUAUUUUUAAAUAAAAAUUAAUUAAUUUAUAAUAAAUAUAAUUUUUAAAUAAUAAUUUUGAUAAAAAUAAUAUAGAUAUUUUAUAUUUUUAAUUAAAUAAGUGAUAGAUCAAAUCAACUUAAAUUUAUAAUUAAUAAUUACUAAAUACUUUAAUAUUAUAACUUUUAAAUUACAAUUGUUCAAUUUUAAUAUCAAACAGACCCUUGAUAUCUAUGGUUUCUAAUUUCUAUUAGAAGUUGAGUAAUGCACACGCACACAUCUGUCUGGGAUUAUCUUUCAAGAAAUCAAUAUUUUAAUAGAUAUCAUAUCUGUGGAAUCUGUCUGAAGUAAUAAUAUAUUAAAGAAGAAUAAGCCUUGCCUGUUCAUUCCGUUAACAAUAUUCACCUUAAUAGAAAGUCUACUUAUUCAAUCCGAUCCCUUCUUUAGCUUAUUUAUUCAAAUUAUAUAUAUUCUCAAACAGUUGCGUCAUGCCUGAGGUUCUCGUUCCCAAGUUAUUAAUUUUACAAUAAUAUUAGGGAUUUGAAUAGUUGAGUCUCAAUUUAAAUUUUAAUUGUUAUGUAUUAUUUAUUUAUUAGAUAGUGAAUUUUAUAUGGUAAAAUUAAUAUUCUACCAUCCAAUAAUUGAAUGUUACAUUAGUUAAGACUUGAUCGUUGGGAUUCUUAACAUUACUCUUAUUUUAUAUGUAAAUAAAUUGUUGGAACAACAGUAUAUGAUUGAAGAUUCUUUGUUAACUCACUCUAGUUUCAAAUCUUAGACAACUGUCAAGAUGAAUUAUAUUUUACAAGUCAUAUUGGGUGUUUUUUAAAUAAUAUUUUCAAACUAAAUAAAAAAAAUCCCAACAAAAACAAACAAAAAAUUUGAACCAAAUUCUUAUUUCACUGAUGUAGCCAAGUUAUAUAGAAAUGGAAGAGCGAUGCUAUACUUGAUUAGUUUAUAUUAUAAUUGAUGCGUCACUUAUAAAAAUUUCAUCAUUUGUAUUAAAAAUGAUAAAGGCAUUAUCACUUGAGCCAAUCAUGUAGUGACAUAUCAUUUGCCACAUCAGUUGGGAUACAAUCUAAAUAUCUUAAAUAGGUAAGCAUAGCAUUUAUAAAAAAGAAAUUACAAUAGUUAAUUGUGCAAUAAAGUACAAUUUCUGAAGCAAUUUUAUUUUAUUUUUGAAAGAUAAAGCAAUUUUAUUUAGUUGCUUAUCUAAAUUCAAAUUCUAAAAAGAUACAAAGGUAAAAAACUAAUCUAAGCUAUUCAUCUCUCUAUCAUUGUUAGAAAUAAACAUAAAAGAAAUUGAUAAGAUGUUAACUAAGAAAACAAAGUCUGUUCAAUUAGAAUUUUUAAAAGAUACUAUCUUUGCUUUUAAGUAGGACACUUGCUUAUUUACAAUAACUGUGUGUAUACUUAAACAAAGAGUAACUCAAAGACAUUGUUUUAUUGUUCUUUGCAUUGCAAGUAAGAGAGGGCAAAUUAGGUUUUGGUUUGGGUUGUUUGAGUUUAGAUGGUUGGGUUGGAGAAUUGAACCCAAUUAAGUUCAAAACGUGAUCUCAAACUAAAUCAAACCAAAAUUAAUUUGGUUCGAUUUGGUUUGAGUUCGCUUUUCAAAUUUAUUCAUUUUGAAAAUUUAGGUCUAAAUUUUGUAUUAGGUUCAAUUCGGGUUACAAUAGUUUAUUUUUCCCACAUCCGCUAGCAAACAUCUAAAAUUCCAAAAGUCUCAAAUCCCAGCCCAAAUCAAUAUAAAAUAAAAGCAAAUAUCAACUACCAAUCAUCCUCAACAUUUCAACAAGCCUUUUUAAAAAGUUUAAACUUAAUAAAACAUAGAAUAAAUAAAAUAAAUAAAUAACGAUUACAAUAAAGCCACUAAAGUUACAUCUCCAAAUGACAAACGUGAUUAAUAAUCCAUCUCCACCAACAUAUAUCUAGAUGACAAAUAUGUAAGAUUAAUAAUCUAUCUUCACUAGCAUAAACACUCAAGACAACAGUUCUAGAUCACUAAUAAUUAACCACCACCAAUCAAGCAUCAAUGGAUAAGUAAUAAUUGACAUUGAGUUGAAUCACUUAAUAUGCCUUAACAAUGUGUAAUAUUCUCAAUAUGAGUAUACUACUACUACUACUACCAUUCUGCACUCAAUACGCCUAAUAAUGUGUAAUCCCAAUACUAGUAUACUAGUACUACCUGAUAACUCUAUGAAAUGAGAGUUAUCAUGAUACUUUUAGACUUAAAUCAUUAUUACUUAGAGAGUAAAUAACAUGUUUUUAUUGCAUUUUAGUUUUAGUUUGCAUGAAUAAUCAUUUUAGUUUAUUUUUAACAAAUUGCAUUGUUUUAGAAUAAUUUUGUGUGCUUAGAUUGUGUGCAUAAUUGUAGGUGAUUGGAAGCUCAAAUUUCAACGAAGGAAUGCUAUUGCAAUAGGCUUGCAAAAGAUGAAAAAGAACUUAGUUACAGAAGAAUUGAAAUAAAUAUGGAACAAUGCAAUUGUUGUAGCUGUUGCUGUAGUAAUGUUGUUGUAGCAACCAAUGUUGUAGCAAUCCUAGAACAACGAUAGAGAAAAUUUUGCUCGAGAUACUCAGAAUAUUGUGAUAUGCAAUUUCCUAAUCUCGAAGAUACGUGCCCUAUGUUAACAUAGAUGUUUCCAUAAUAUUGAUUUUGAUGAUAACAAAUAAGAUUAAAAAUGAUUAAUCUUUUAAGCCCAAAUUAUUUAAUAUUCUUUUUUAAAUCAUUAUUUUACAUUAUAAAGGUUUUAUAUUUAAUGGAAAAAUGAUUUUAUGAAAUUGAUUGUUUUUAUUCUUUUUAAAUAAAUCAUUAUUUUCACAUUAUAAAUGUUUCAUAUUUAAUGGAAAAAUAAUUUUAUGAAAUUGGUUGUUUUUCAAAGUUUAUGGUUUAUUUGAAAGAAUUUUGAAAACUUUGAAAUAAACAAGUAUUGCUUGAAAUUUUGGUAAAGGACUUAUUUGAAAAGUGUCAUAGCAUUUUGGGCUAUAUCAUAAUUUCAAAAAGUUUUGGGAUUAACAAAGUAUUAUUUAGAAAUUCUAAAAUUGGACAUAUUUGCAAACUUUCAUAACGUUCUGGGUUAUAGUAUGUUUUGUAAAGUUUUGGGGUCAAAUUGUAAAUUUAAAAAAUAAUUUCACUGUAGCAAUCGCUGUAGCAACGGCUAACAGUUUACUGAAAACGGCUAACCGAUAAUUUUCAGAAAGCAUGUUCUGCAAAGUAUUGUUAAAAUGAUGAUUCUGGAACAUAACGGUGAACCGUUUACUGAAAACGGUUAACCGAUUAUUUCCAGAUUGCUAACCUUGAACCGUUUAGUAAGAACGGUUAAACCAAAUUUAUUUUGCAGGUCUCUGGAAUUUAACGGCGAAAGGGUAAUUUUAAACGGCAAACCGUUUAUUUGAAAAUUGGCCCAACGGUAACUUUGACCGGCCUAAACGGUUAACCGUUAAUGGUUAACGACGAAUCAUUUUCGAGCAGACAGUCUAUAACGGCUAGUUUUUCAGCUCCAACUAUAAAUAAGCUCAAUCCAAUUCAAACAAGAAGAAUUCCAACGAUCAUCAUUGAGCAAAAUAUUGAGAAUACAACUUUCAUUGAGCUUUAAAUCCUUGUAUUCAUCUCAUUCAUUCACACAUUGAGCUUUCAUUUGUGAUCAAACACAUUGUGUGAGAGAAAUUCAUUUGUAAUCCUUUUUGUAAAAUCAAGUUAAAAGAUUGUAAGUGUUGGGAUACACUUGGGUUAAGAGAUUGGGGAUAAUCUCUUGUUGUGAAGGUCCGUUGACACCUUGGAAGUCAAUUGUAAGCAUUUGAAGCCUUGGAGGCUUGCUUAGUGAAAUCCUCAAGCCCGGUGAGCUUGGAGGCGUGGACGUAGGCAUGGAUUGCCGAACCACGUAAAAAUCAUUGUGUUUGUUUUCUCUUCCCUUAAUCUUUUUAUUGUGCUUGAUUGAUUCAUUUGUUAUUGCUUUAAAUCCAUCUUAGAUUUGCAUUAUAAUUUGUUUUAAAAUCUAAUAAUUUUUAGAAACCCAAUUCACCCCCCCUCUUGGGUUGCAUACUUGUAGUUCACCAUAGGCUUCAGUUUACCCUAAUUUUCAAUUAUAAAAGGAGCACACAUCAUAAAGAAAAUGGGGAGCCGUCACCCAAAUGGAAAAACCAGAAAGAAACAAAAGAAAAACAGAAUUUAAGAGAGAGAUUGAGGGCUGCACAAGAGAAGAAUUUACAGAAAUCAAUCGGGAACUCAAUCCUUCUUAUUAUUCUCUUGUUUUCUUGUUUAUCUUUUAGUUAUGAGGAUGUGUUUGAUGGCUGAAACUUUGUUCUUUAUUUUUCUUUUGCAAACCAUGAACUAAAUUUAUUUGUGGUUGAGUGAUAAACAAUCUUGAUGGUUUAUUGAUUGAAUAUAUGUGUUACUGCAUGAUUUCUAUAACAUUUUGUUUUGAUAGUAUUUAUUUCUAUUUAUUAUUUCGGUUGAUCACCCAUUUAAUGAUAUUAGCUAAGAAAAAGUCACAAAAGGACAUAUCUUAGUUGAACAUAUCAGAGUAAUACUUGGUUUUAGAUUGAGUUUCCUGGGUUGAGUUUAACUUGAGUCCAAAAGGGUUAUGCUUAAUUUAAAAUUAGUGAUGAACUAGACAUAUGGAUUCACUUUGUAGGGUAAUUAGAACUUAAGCGUGUAAUGCUAUAUCUUAUGUUGGCAUAACAAUUGAUUACUAUUAGGCUGCAUAUGGAUAUAAGAUAUCCAACAUGCGACAACUGAGGAUACAUAAAGAUUCUGUCCAAUGCUGUAGCAACCGAGCCAAACAUUAGAAAAAUAGUCAAAAUCAUUAGGUGAGUUUAAUCACUCAACUACUCAUUUCUUAUUGAUUGCAUCUUUGUGUUUGAUUUAAGAUUUCAUUUGUUGCAUUUUUAAUUAAGUUAGUUUAUUAGUUUCUUUAAUUAAGUUAGUUUAUUAGUUUCUUUAAUUAUUUUAUUUUAUUAUUUUAUUUUAUUAUUUUAUUUUAAUUUAAUUUAAUCUAAACUGCACUGUUAGAAUUGUUGUAGCAAAUCCGAUAACAUCAAUCCAUGUGGAGACGAUCUUGAAUACUCAUCAUUAUAUUACUUGUUGUGUACACUUGCACAUUGACACCAAUAGCAUUAGAAUUUAUACCAACACUAUCAUUAUGCACUAUUAUUUUGCCUAAAUUUUUUAGGUAGCGUUUACAUUUUGGAUUGGAGUGGGAAUCUUAAGAUUGGGAGUGUGGAAUAAGAGUGAGAGUAAGUUAUUUACUUACACUGGAAUAGAAGCAUAGAAUGGAUAUUAGAAUCCAAUUUAUCUGUUUAUUUUUUUCUUGGAUUGGGAGUAAAUAAUUUCAAAUUAUAAUUUUACCCUUAUUUAAAGAAUUGUAGUUUUUAAUUAUAAAGUUAAUAAAAAUAUAUUUGAUGAAUAAAUAUUUACUUUAUUAUAUUUGUAAAUUUAUAAUAAUUAUUAAUAUUCUAAAUUAUAUAUAUCAUAAUUUUUUAUUAAUUUUAAUUUUAAAUAUGUAAAUUAAAAAUUAUUGAUAAGGGCAACAUAAAUGAAACAUUUUUACUAUUAACAUAGUACAAAAUUAAUAUUUUCUUAGAAUAAACUAUUUAUUAUUAUUAUUAUUAAUUAUUAAUAUUAAAUAAAUAUAAUAAUAUUAUAUUUUCAAAUAAAGAUAGUAUAUAGUAAUAUUAUUAAUUCUCUAUUACUAUAAUAGUAUUAUUUUUAAGUAAUUUUAACUUAGAAUCAAACCAAAUUAUUAUUUAGUUAAAUAUAAUAAUAUUAUCUAAAUAAAUAUAAUAUUAUUUAUUUUAUUAAAUAUAAUUAUAUUAUCUAAAUAAAUAUAAUAUUAUUUAUUUUAUUAAAUAUAAUUAUAUUAAAUAAUUAUAAUAUUAUUUAUUUUAUUUUAUUAAAUAUAAAUAUAUUAAAUUUAUUAUUAUAUAAAAUAAUAUUAUUAUUUAGUACAAAAUUAAUAUUUUCUUAUAAUAAACUAUUUAUUAUAAUUAUUAAUUAUUAAUAUUAAAUAAUUAUAAUACUAUUAUUUUUAAAUAAAUAUAAUAAUAUUAUAUUUUCAAAUAAAAUAGUAUAUAGUAAUAUUAUUAAUUUUCUAUUAAUAUAAUAUUAUUAUUUUUAAGUAAUUUUAACUUAGAAUCAAUGCAAAUUAUUAUUUAGUUAAAUAUAAUAAUAUUAAAUUUAAUAAAAGGAGGGUAAAAAUCCACUCCCACCUCCCCCCAUGGGAGUCCCACUCUCACUCCCCACUCUAAAAGUAGGUGGAGUCCACGUAGUGAGAUUCUUAAUCCUCCCUUCAAAUGUGCAAGUAAACACUAAAGUGGAAGAAAUCUACACUUUUCACUCCCACUCUAGAAAGUAAACACAAUAUUAAUUGAUUCUUAUUAUUGAUCCAAUCAAUUCUUAUUCUUGCAACACAAAAUCUUCAUAUUGGAGCACUUGGAUGGUCGAAUUGUGUCGACUUACAAAGCUCUACAUGAAACGAAAAAACCUUAAAGUAAAAAACUCUUAGAGUAAAUAACAAAGUCCUAAAAAUAAAUAACUAAGUAAUCAUAAAUAUUUGUACCUUCUACAAGAGAAUCCAUAAACUCAUUUUCCUCAACUAACGCCUAAAGGUUAGUUGUUACAUACAUGAAAAGUGAAGAUCGCAACCAAUUUUGUGUUAAUGUUAAUGCUUCCACCAUGUCAAGAGUCAUAGAACUCUUAUAUUCAUAUACAACACAACCUCUCAUACUAAAGACGAACUCAUAUACAAUAGUAGAUAUUGGAGUGGCAAGCACAUCUCUUGCUAUUUGCGAUAAAAUUAGGCGUUUUGAACUAUUAACCUUCUACCAUAGCAAAAUAUCAAAUGGAGCACUCAAUCAACAGUGAAUUAAGUGCUUGAUACUCAACCGACUCCAUCAAAUAAAAAUUUAACUCAUUUGACGAUUCUAUAUGAUCUCUAGUGACAACAAUCAUUUCCAUAUAUUUUUUGAAGACAGGGUCCUCAUAUACCUCAUAUUCUUCAUCCACAAAAGUUAGCCCACUACUAGCACUACCACCAAUAGUUACACUUGAAAAUGCACUUAGUUUUAAGUGCCGAGCACUGUAAGCUUCAAAAAGCUUAACCCAAUCCGAAUGCCACCCCUAAUUGCAAGAAUUAAUUAUGCCUUGCUUAAUUAAGAAGAGUUGAGUGAGAAUCCCCACAAAAUGUCUAAGAUGGCCACAAUGUUAAAAAAAUGAGCUUUCUGAAAAUUGCGCCCAUUAGCCUACUAAUCGCUUAAGGCCUCAAUUUGUUUGCCUCAACAGAGAACACCUUUCAUAUAUAUGCCUUAAGCAAAAUUUCCUAGUAUCCUUGCUUUCACUCUUAGUCUUGGAUCACCUAAUUGUGAUUCACAAGAGGUCUAUCCUUGCUUUCACUCUUGGUCUUGGAUCACCUAAUUAUGAUUCACAAGAGCUAAUCUCUAUGUAGUGGAAAAAGAUUUAUACAGUUGAAGUUGAAUUUAAAAGACAUUGUUAAUUUUCUCUUUUGUAGUGCAAGAAUUGAUAGUGCUUUGCUUGGGAACCGCCAACGUAUGUCCAAGUUGAGCAAUCUAUGAAAUAUAUUAAAAAUGGGUACAAUUUGAUUUGUCUUUCUAAAGAUGCAGCAUCACUAAUGUUGCCCAAAGGCUUGGCUAAUACAAAGUCUCGUUGAUACCCCAAAUAGAGAACUGAAAGUUAACUUGCUAAACCAGGCUGCUGGAAAAUGUGAUGUGCAAUUGCACCCUAAUAUAUGGAUCCUCCUAUGUAACAUGCCAUACAUUUUUUUUUUUUUUAAUUUUUUUGAGUUAAUUACACUGCAAUCCCUGUUUUAUUCUAAAAUUAAAAAACAAUCAGAUAAUCCUAAAUUUUGACUCAUUAGUCCUACUUAUUUCGAUUUUUUUAAACUUAAAUCAAAAGGUGAGGAUAUUGUUUAAUUAUUAAUUCACACACCCACCAUCAAGUUUUAAAAAGAAAAUUUACUCCAUACACUUACCUAAAUGUCAAAUACAUUCUUGAUAAGACUAAUUUUUAUUUGUACUAAAUAAAUAAAUUAAAAUGAUAUAAAAAAUGAUUGAAUUCUUUACAUGCCCACUAGUUUCAGUUCCAUAUCUCUAGCAAAUAGCAACUAAAUUCCAUCAUUAACUCAAAAUUAUCGAACAUGAGAUGUGAAAAAGGUUCUCAAAUAAAUGUGGAGUAUGAAAAAGGUUCUCAAAUAAGUGUGGAGUAUAAAAUGGCUUUACCUCCAAGUUCUUAUUAAAAGCUUCUAAACUUAUUCCUCAAGCUCGUAAAUAUAAGAAGAAACGACGAGCAAGUUGCCACCACCCCCCUCUCACUUUUAGAUACGUUCUUAUUAAACAAUAAAAAAUUAUUAAUUGGUAAAUAAAUAUAUUUUUAUUGCAUAUUGAAAUUAUUUACUGUAUAUUGAAUAAGUAUUAUUAAAAAUAUUAACAACAAAUUAAGAACUAGAGAUCAAAUUCAUACUCAUAUUUAUUAUACAAUAUGGUUUGUAAUUAAUACGUGGUUUUACUAUAUAUUAAAUUAAUUAAUUAAUAAGAAAGAAUAUUAAUUUAAAUAUAAGAAUAAAUCAAUUUAUCAGUGAAAUUAUGUAGGUCAUUUGGCACAAUAUAUUGUAUUGUAUUAGUUACAUUGUAUUACAGUGUGUGUCAUUAAGGUGUAUUAAACUAUAAUACAAUAUCAUGUUUGAUGCAACAUGAACUGUAGUAUAUAUAAUAAAAUUUUAUAUAAUUGUUUAGAUUAGUAUUAAUUUUAAAUUAAUAUUAUUCAAAUUUAUUGAUAUUUAAGUAUUUAUUAUUUUUUAUAUUAAAUAUUUAAAAAUAAUUAAUUUUUAUAUACCAAUUAUUAUAAUAUAAUUAAAUAACAUAAUAUUUAUAUUUAUAUUUAUAUUUUUAUAUAUUAUUUAAGUAUUUAUUAUUAGUUAUAUUAAAUUAUGAACUAAUAAUCAAUUUUAUAUAUUAAUUACUAUAAUAGAUUUAAACAAUGUAAUAUUAUGUUGUAAUUUUAUUUUUAUAUAAUAUUUAAGUAUUUAUUAUUAGUUAUAUUAGCUUAUUAAAUAAUUAUCAAUUUUUACUUAUUAAAUGUUAUAAUAUAAUUAAGUAAUACAUUAUUUAAUUAUAUUUUUAAUAUAAUUAAUUUUUUAAAUAUUAUUGAAUACUAAAUUGUAAAUUGAUGGACUUAUGUGUCAAUGUUUUAAACUUUGUUAGUUUUGUAAUUUUUCAGCAAACAUUAGGGAGUAUAAUAUUAAUAACCCAACACAAGCAUGUUAGCCAUUACACUUGUUUUAAAUUAAAUCUAACGGUGGAUUAGAAAAAGACAAAAGAAUGUGGUAUGUUACUACAGUAAUAAUAUAGCUGCACCCCUAAUAUAUAUAUAUAUAUAUAUAUUGAACUGCAGCACCAAGAAUUAUCCUUAAAUUUUUUCAUUUUACGAGGAAAAAGACCGUCAAAGCAGGCAGGGUUGAAACUCUCUACACACCGUUCCAUAACUUGUCUCAACUAACUCUAUUUAUGUCAGUCAAUAGUAUUGGUAACCUACGCUCUCAAAAUAGGCUUGAGCUUAUGUCAUAAAAUUUAUGAUCUGUAUUGCGAAGUCCAAAUUUUUAUAGCAACUUAUUAAUUUCUCAGAGUCAUCGUUGAAAAUUUCCUUCCUCUGACAAAUAUAAAGAGUAUGACUGACCAUGCCUUGCUUUUAAUGAGUAUUUAUUAUCACUGGCAUAGUUACCGAGUACCAUCUGCCAAACACUGUUUACUGCGUUAAUAACAUGUGGUUCUCUGAAUUAAUCUUUAUGUUUUAUCAAAUAACUGCAUACUUUAUCCAUUUGCGUCAACUAAGUCCCUCAUUCGUUUACUAGGGUUAAUUGACAUAUUUGAUACAAAUAGAUAAACUAUUUCUUUGUUUACAAAAAUAUAAAAAUUUAGGGAUUCCAAUGUUAUUAUCCGUACCUUUCACUUUCAACUCCAUUUAAACCUUCUCAGAGACACUCCCAGACCCACUGCAUGUCAGCAUCUCUUCUCUCUAGCUUUGGCAAUAUGCUAUCUGAUCACUUGUAUUCAACUCUUUAUGAAACCCUAAAAUUUCUAAUUCUUAUUCUUGUGACUGCCAUUGAAGCAUUCUUGAUCCAUCAACGCUUCAAACCCAUUUGCCAUUUCUUCUAUUUCACUUGUCUUGCAAUUAUUUUGCUUCUCCAAUUCUACCUUUCAAAGCCUUCAGUAACAUACCUGGUGGACUUCUCAUGUUACAAGCCACCAUGCUUCUGCAGAGUCCCUUUCUCCUCAUUUCUUGAAAACUCCUCAUUGGUAGAAACUUUUGACAGCGAAAGCAUGGCUUUCAUGUCCAAAGUUCUCACUUGCUCAGGACAAAGUGAAGAGACUUAUCUCCCUCCAGCAUUACAAUACAUUCCUCCAAAAACCAAUCAGCAAGAAUCCAUCAAAGAAGCUCAAAUGGUCCUCUUCCCAGUCAUCGAAAAUCUCCUCUCCAAGGUUCAGAUCUCACCUCAAGAUAUCGACAUCCUCAUAAUAAACUGUAGUGGCUUUUGCCCUUCGCCCUCACUUUCAUCCAUUAUCAUCAAUAAAUACUCCAUGAAGAGUGACAUCAAGAACUUUAACCUCUCCGGCAUGGGCUGCAGUGCAAGUGCACUUGCCAUCGACAUGGCUCAAGCCCUUCUUAAAACCCAAAAAGACUCCGAUGCCCUUGUCCUCAGCACUGAAAUAUUAUCCACCGGUUGGUACUCGGGUAACGAGAAGCCUAAGUUGCUCCUCAACUGCCUCUUCAGAAUGGGCAGUGCAGCAGUUUUGUUAACAAACAAAAAACAAGCAAAAAGAUCAUCAAAAUACAAAGUUGUUCGCACUGUGAGAACCAAUAGAGCCUUUGAUGACAAGGCUUAUAAUUCCGGAAUGCGCGAAGAGGACUCUAAUGGGAAACUUGGGGUAACACUCAACAGGGAUUUGCUGCAAAUCGCCGGAGAAACUCUUAGAGCAAAUAUAACAAUUUUGGGUUUUAAAAUUUUGCCCUUUAGAGAGUUAUUUUGGCUUGGUGUUUCAGUUAUAAAGAAGGGGUUUAUUAAAAAUUCUUGUGAUAUUUAUGUGCCAAAUUUUAAGGCCGCGGUGCAACAUUUUUGCCUGCCGGUUUCAGGAAGGCCGGUGAUAAGAGAGAUAGCGAAGAAUCUGAAGCUCGGGGAGAGGGACAUUGAAGCUGCUCUGAUGACAUUGCACAGAUUUGGAAACCAGUCAUCUUCUUCAUUGUGGUAUGAGUUAGCUUACAUGGAGGCUAAAGAGAGAGUGAAGAAAGGUGACAAAGUUUGGCUAAUUGGAGCCGGGACUGGGAGCAAGUGCGGUAGCGUCGUUUUGCAGUGUUUGAGACCCAUUGUUGGGGAAUCUAACAAGGGCCCAUGGGCUGGUUGUGUCGAAGAGUAUCCAGUCAUGAAUUCAUGAUGCAUCAUCAAAGAAAGUUUCCAUCUUGCUGUGGAUUCAUUGCUGCUGAUUGCUUGUUUUCUUAUAAUUAUUGUAGAGAAAUACAAUAAAAUAUUAUUCAUUUCAUGAAAAGCUGGUAUUAUUUUUCAAUAAAUGGAUAUCUAUUGUGUCUCUUUUGAAUUGUUUAGAGUCCAGCUACGUUGCGGAUCACUUACACAAUUAUUUGGUGGACACGUUAGUGAUUAAAAAAUGAACGAAAUUUAAUAAAAUUUAAUCGUCCAAUAAUAUCCACGCUAUAGAAUUUAAUACUCCUCAAAUACCAUAGUCACAAUCAAUUAUUUAUUUAAAGGGGUUAUAAGAGAAUAAGAACAUGAUAAUCAUAUAUCAUAUAUUAAUCCAUGUAAGCUGUAGCUAUUUUUCUUAUUUUAGUAAAGAACAAACACAUUUUUUUUUAAUCUAUUUGUUGGAUGGACAGGUCGCCCAUGAUAGGCUGACCAGAUCCGACCCAAGUUUGGUAACUGCCAAGCAGUUACCAUACACGUUGGUUUAUGGGAGUUUAGAAGGAAUUUUGAUUUUGAAUCAGCUUCCCUAACCGUUGUUUAAAUUAAAACAAAGUAUAAUAUAACAUUUUAAUCUAUCGAAGGCAUAGACUUCUCCUAUUUCUUCCUUAAUUUCUUUCAAAUUCAAUAUACAAAAGAACAUAGAACAACCCAUUAAAAAGAGGGCAUUUACACUGUGGUAUAGAAGAGGAUUUCCAUUUGUGGUUUCUUUCCGACCAUUGGCGUAAUCCAACACUUGAAUAUUUCGUUGCUUAAUUUCUUGGAAAAAGGUAUAGCUUCUUGAAUUCUUUUUAUUUUUCCUUCAUUGGUAUCAGAGCUUUCUAUUGUGUUGGAUUUGUGCAUAUGGUUGAAUUUAUUUCAUGAAAAAGCAUGAAUAUCACAUGUUAAUUGAAAUUUAUGGAAUGUGUGAUAUGGUGGCUGUUGAUUUUAUGUUCUUAGUGCUUAAAUUAAAGCAUAAAUUAUAGAAUUGAUAGACAUAAAAAAGGGCCUAGGGUUUAGGUUGCGUGAACCUUAAGAAAUCAUGAAACCCCAAAUUGCUCAUAUCUUUUGGUCUAGGCAACCUGACAUUGUGUGUAGUAUAUCAUUGGAAAGAUCUUUUUGAGGGCUUUCCAAUGAUAUGUGAUUUGUUAAAAACGAAAUUAAAAUGAGAAAGUUAUAACCAAAACAAGAAUCUGGUCGGAUUAGGGUUACAAAAGUCAGAAACCCUAAUUUUUGGAUAAGAUGAUGAAUAGUGCCAGAAUUAGUUUCUCAGUGAUUUCGGCUUAUUCUGACCUUCGAUUGAAAAUAUAAAGCCACCAUUGGACUAUGAUGAAAAAUUGAGUCGGAUGGUGCUUGACCCGACAUCAUUGGAGCUGCUCAAGGCGGCGCAUGAGGAUGCACACGACAUUGUAGCACACUGUAGUGAAACUGUAGCGGAUUGUAGCGCAUUGUAGCACACACUGUAGCAUGCAUGAAGAGCACGCAACUACCUUUGUGCGUGGCAGUGUUGGAAUAAUAGGAAUCUUUGGAGAUAACUGUUGUGAAAAUUUUAAUAUACUCGCAACCGCACGAAUCUAGAAAUAGAAUAGUGGUAACGAAGCCGAUCCCACAAGGAUUGUUAUAAAUUGGAAAAUCUAAUUUAAAUAUAAAAUUAAUAUUAAUCAUAACCUAGUUGAGCAAUUUAAAUUUUUAAAAGAAAUUAAACUUAUUAAAUUAAGAAAACAAUUAAAGCAAAUGAGAAAUCAAUAAGACAAAAAUUACCAAGGUUUCAGAAUCCACCACUAUUCAAUUAGUAAUUAUCUAAAUAUUAAUUAAUCCCCAAUUUUAGAGUGACAACUCGAAAUCAAUCUAUGUCAUCUCAUGGAUAUAACAAUUAAGCCCAAGUAAUUAAAUCUAAUGGAGGUUCUUUUUCUGCUUAAUAAUAUGACAUCUAAGCAUCCCAUGUAAACAUAUUGAAUAACAAAGAAUCAAAGUUUUCCUAAGCACUCUAUGUAAACAAUUUAAUGAAAGACAUAGAAUGAAAGAUAAUCAUGUAUAAACUUUAUAAAUCCAAGCAUAGAUUUAAUCGAAUAUUAAUCCUAACAAUCAAUAAUGCAUGACAGAAUUGAUAAAAAGAUUUUAAUAACAUCCAAUUAAUCAUGUGAAAUAAAAACCAUAAUCAUUAAAGAACAUAUAUAGGGAAUUAAAUAAAUAAAAAGAUAAUUAUUUUAUUGAAUAUGGUUUCAUCCUUAACCUCAGUAUAAGAAAAUUAGUUAGACAUACUUGAAUAGAGAGCAACAGAAAUAAAAUCAGCCAUGGAAGCCGAACUGCUACUGCUGCCGAAUACUCUCUCCCAGCCUUGCGUCUGCACCUCUUUUCUUUUUCCUGGCAGCUACUCUCUUGCCUUUAUAUAAUGUUACCGACUUGCUUAAUCCUUAUUGGAUUCUAAUUGCAUUAAUUCUUCACAACUUAUCAUAAGUCAAAGGCAUCCACCAACUUACAAAGCCCACUCACCAAGCCUUUUUAAAAUUAUUUCCUUAUUAAACUUUGAAAGCUAGCCACACGUUAGACCACAAAAGCAAAAGGCCAAUUAAUGACUUCUUCUUUUAAUGCCCAGCAUAUGCACUCCAAAUUGCCAAAUCUUUGCUUUCCAAAUGCAUGCCCACCGUUCAUCUUUUGAAGGGAUUGACUUCCAAUUUUAGUCUUUUUGACUUCCAAAUUUGAACUUCCUCAUGCCCUUUUUAUCCUUAAUCUUCAAUUAAUUCCAUAUUCAACAAAGUAAUUCAAUUAAUUAAAAAUAAUAAAUAAAAAUAACUAGCAAUUAAAUAAUUAAGGGUAAAAUAUGUAUAUAAAUUAUGCUCAUCAAUAACUAAGACUCGUCACUUUUUUCUGCAUCACCAACUAUCUGAUCUUCAAGGAACACAAUAUCUCCACUUCUAAUUAAUUUUCUUGCCAUUGGAUCCUAUAAUUUAUACUCAAAUUCUUCAUGCACAUAGCCUAAGAAAAUGCAUUUCUUGGCUUUAUCAUCAAGCUUCGAUCUCUCAACCUUAGGAACGUGAACAUAUGCUCUGCCACUAAACACUUUCAAGUGUUUAUAAGAAACAUCUUUCUCGGUCCAAACUCUCUCAGGUACAUCGCCAUCUAAUGAAGCUGAAGGAGACAGGUUAAUCAAGUCAACUGCAGUACGCAUAGCCUCUGCCCAUAAAGACUUAGAAAGCUUAGCAUUAGAAAGCAUACACCUAACCCUCUCUUUAAUAGUUCUAUUCAUCCUUUCUGCAACACCAUUCUGCUGCAGGGUAUUUGGUACAGUCUUCUCAAGUCUGAUUCCAUGGGAUCUGGAAUACUGCUUAAAUGGUCCCUUGUGCUCACUAUUGUGCAAAUUUUAUUGAACUCGCAAGUGCACGAAUCUAUUGUAGAAUAGAUUAAUGGUGACGAGUGUCGAUCCCACGAGGAGGUGGAUUUUAAUUAUAUGUAGAAUUAAUUUUGUAUGAGGGUGGUUGGAUUUAUGGUGAAAGUGACUUAGAUUAUCCUAAAAUUGGAAUUGAAAUGGCGAGAAUAAAUUGAAGAGAAAUCUAUUGAAAUGACGUACUUGGGUAUCUGGAUCCGUAUCAACAUGCACCAUGGGUUAAAUAUUCCUUAUUAAUGCCAAUUAAAUCAUGAGGGGGGAAUCCACACCUCAUGAACCACACUCUAAUCAAUAUAGUGUUAAGGGCUUAUCGUGCCAAAUAAUAAUAACCUUGUACUAGGGAGUCGGUGAAACAAGGGCAGUAUCUAGACAAGAUUAUUAUUAUUUGUCGACGAAAAGUCAAAUCAUCCACACAAAUUAGAGGGAAAAAGAAAAUAAAUUUACCAAAUAAAGCCCAUGGCACAUGUUGAAACUUCACCUUCAACCCAAGCUUGAAAGAAAAUUAGCUACUCAUAAUUGAACUAGGGGCAAAAUGAGAAUUUAUUAAAAUAUGUAUAAAAUACAAGAUGGAGAAGGAAUUACAGAAAAUGGAGCCCAAAAAUGGAUUCAGAGAUGCCAAAUUAGGGGGGGAAGGCCCCAAUUUUAUAGAUACAUUGAGUAAAUCAUGACCAUCGGAUUAAAAACAGUUUGGACGCUCAGGAUUGCGCCACGUCAUCAGUCAACAGUACGCGGUUUGACCACGCGGUUUGAACAGUGACACAGUUUGACCCGGCUUGAACAGUAACGCGGUUUGGUUGAAAAUAAUUAUGUGUAUAUGCAUGUACCGUAUGCGUAAUUUUUGGUCCACUAACAUGCUGCCAUGUUACCAAUCAACAGUGCAUAAGAAUUUUAGUCCAACAGGAUCGUGACACCUCAUCAGUCAAUGCCACAUCAUCGGUCAAUACCACGUCAUCGAUCCGUCUAUGUGAACAGUGUCGUGAACAGUAACGUAGACAGUACCGUACAUGUGAAUAGUACCGUACAUGUGAACAAUGCCAUUUUUCUUUUUAUGCUCCUCCUAAGGUUUUCGACCGUCCUGAGUUCAAAAGUGAUGUUCGUUUUGCCAUCUGAUCUCUCGUUCACUGUGAAAUGACCAUAAUGCCCCUAAAAUAUAUAAAAUACUUAAUUAAAAUAAAACACACGUAAUUAAAUCACAAGAAGCUUAAAUACAUAAAAGUAAGGGUGUUAGUAAGACUUGAAAUGUAAAAUGAUGAUUUUCUCCUUUAUAAAUAUACAUUUUCUAACACUCAACACACCCCCCAACCAGCUUAUUGCUAGUCCCUAGCAAAUAAAGCGAAAAUAAAAUUCAAAUCCAAAAUAUAUUUUUUUUAACAAUCAUGUUUAUUCAAUCAGACUAAUGAUAAUAAUAAAAUAAACGUAUAAGUAUUAUCUCAAGUCUAAAGAAAUAUCACACCCACAUCAACCAUUCACAUGAAUCAGCCUAGUAGACUUUGUCACAGUUACUUUCAAGAAUGACAUGUUAAACCCCAAAAUCUCACUGGAAAUAGUGACACUCUCACAAAGAAAUUAAACCCAAUAAAAAUAGUCACUCCAAUGAAUGGUAAUUGAGAGAAAAUAAUAAAGAAGUGAUAUCACAUGCUCUCACUAAGAUGAAAGAAAUAUGCACUCGGCUUAGAAAUAAUACGAUCUCAAGUCAAAUAAAAAUACUAGUCAACCCAAUUUAUUUAUUUAUUUUAUUUAUGCACCACUACAUCUUUUUAGCCCAUAUAAUUAGCUUCUACUUCAGACUAUAAUUCCCUAAAAUCAAGAAGGACUUUUAUUAGGACGUAAUGUAGGCUAGGGACAUGGCUAACAAAAGAGGGGAAAUAAGGAAAACAAAGUGUAUGUUUGAGAAAAAUGUAGAGGAUUUUUUUUUUUUGGAAGUUGCAAGGUGGAUUUCACCUAUUAUUGUUAUUUUUAUUUUUGAAACAACAAUUUUUUUUUUGUUUGGCAUAACUUUACUGAACAAAAUAAUUAUUUACAUUUUUCUCAAACAUAAAUAUGUGAUGGAACUUGUAAGAUAUUAGGUAAUACUCCAAAUCGGAGUGGGUCAAGAUGAUAAGUUUGACAAAGAAAUAUAUAUAUAUAUAUAUAUAUUAAAGGCUCAAAAGGGUUAACAAUGGAUAUUUCAUAAAAGGGAUGGCUAAAAAGGCUCAAACGGAUCAAAGAUGACAUUUCCAUAGUCUUUUAGGGCUCUAAAUAAUCUUUCAUAUCUACUAGUUAGAUGGGCCUCCAAAUGUAGCAACACACAUUUUUUUUCUUUUUUUUAUUUUACAAUUUUUUUUAAGGGUUAACUCAAAAGAAAUCUAGAGAUCGUGUAUAAAAUAAUAAACUGUUAAGCUGUAUAAAGAAUGGGCAAAAUGGUUACUCUCCAAGAAAAAUAAUAGGCUCAAAAACUCACUUGGUACUUAUUAUGACAUGUUCAUUCCUUCAAGCAACUCAUAUUUGUCUCCGACAUCAACAUGUAGAGUAGCAAACAUAGCGUAACAUCACUUAAGACCAAAGAUUAUACAAAUACUAAAAUUUGAAAUUAAUAAUGUCAUCCAAUGUUAAAACAAAUCACACAAUUUUUUUUUUCAAACAACAUCCUACCCCCCAACCUAUUCUAAACAUGAAAGGAAAAUAUGCAUGCAGAAAUGUGAAAAUGAUGCAGAAAAACUAAUUAGAAAAGUUACACUUAAAAUGAUAGAAAAAAAAAUGAUUUUUUUUUUAACUAAGAAUAUGCGUUUCUAGAGGCACUACACUCCAUAUUCAGCCAUCUUCGACUAAAAAAUUUAAAAAUGCAUUUUUAUAAAGGUGAAAUUAAAAAGAGGAAGAAAAAUGAAUAUUAAAGCUAAAUAAAGAAAAAGAAAAUGUCUGAAUGUUUUUUUUGUUUUUUUUUUCAAACGAUGAAAAAGCGUUUCUAGAGUCACUACACUCCAUAUUCAGCCAUCUUCAACACAAAAAGUUAGCAACAAUUAGUUUCUACAAUAAAAAAUCAGUAAAAACUUAACCAAGAUUCCACAAUUGUCGAUUAUUCCCUCCUCCCAACCAGAACGAAACAUUGUCCUCAAUGUUUUAAAGGAAAUAAGUAGAGUUUAGAAGACAUCACCUGGGUGGUGCAACACAGAAGAAAAUAUUUACAGGCGGAGAGUUAACUUUAAUUUGUACUUCUUAUUGCGGCUACUGUUACCAUCAUUAUUUGGACGCUCCAACACAAAUGUCCAGGGGUCUGGCUCCGGUCUAUAAGCUUGUAACAGAUCAAGUAACUCAUUAGUAAUGUUAGCACAAAUAAAAAACUUUUUCGCUGCGGAAGGAAUGAAAUAGUUUUUUAUUGCAUGAUUAAGAAAUGCGAUGAAGCCAUCAUAAAAGUUAUUGACAUUUAACAAACCGAUGAGUUUCUGGUGAAUGUGCAUAUGGGCCCAAGAUGCUUGUGUGAUAAGUGCCUCUAGGGUUGCAAGAUCUCCUGGAAGGAAAAUAAAAGCAUCAGCAUGAUUAAGCAUUUCAGUUAUUCUUUCUUGCAUACCUGAGACGACUAACGCUUCUCCAGUCGGUGAGUCAGACAAACCACCCAAAGGUUUUAGGGCUCUUGGGAUGAUGCCUAACACUUGGCUUCCUCUGACAAAAGCAGCUUUUGAGACCAAUUUUGAUAACCCUCGGUACCUCCUCCAUACACCAAGUGUAAUUUUCUCUCUGCUAUGCUUCGACCAAGAUCUAUGGCUGCCUUAAUGAACUUUUUAUGUUUGCCAUAGUUAAAUCCAGAAAGCACACGAAUGUUCUUGAAUUGUCUAUUGGGAGUAGCUGCCAUUUGGAUACUUCUCAAAAAUAAUUUGUGAGUGCUUGAUAAAAAAUCAUAUUUAAUCAUCUUGGUGACAGUGGGUCACAGCUGUGUAUGAGGUAGCAUGUCAGUGUCAAUUAACGUGUAAAGCACAUGGCUCGCGAGUAAAAAAGAAAACAGUAAAAAGAAAAAGAAACAAUGAUAAAAUAAAAUUAUUAAAGAUAAUAAUGCAAAUGAUAAAACAACAGUGAGAUAAAAUAACAAUGAAGUAAAAUGAUAUUUACAGGUAGUUGCGACUGUGGUUCACAUCUUCCUCUGAUUUUACGUCCAGAUUGAAAGCCUUCUAUGGGUCGAUGAUAGGCUUCCCAUCCAGUUUUCUUAUAAACUGGAAAAUAGGUUCGUUUAUAGUCAGAUUCCUGAGACUAUAUCGUGCAUGCUCUUUCUGGAAUAAUGACCAUAACUGGAGAAUCACUCCUUGCACAUAUCUACUGGGAUGCGUUUCAAGAGACAAAAGGAUAUCAUCCAAUGACUCCUUAUUCAAGCCAUCUCUAAUGAAUUGAAUCUUAUCUUCCCUGUUAUCAGACACCAUUCCUAAAGAACAUGGGUUUUUAUUGCAUCUCAUUCUGGCAUAUUUAUGACAAGCAACAGAAAUUCUUCGAACUCUUCGUUUUCUUGCAUAAUUUCCUUUACCACAACCAGGCAUGUAUGCAAUAAAUUUUGGAGGUAACUCACCUGCCAAUCGUACUUUAGCCUCGAUUAACCAACGGAUGUCAGCAGGUAUGUUAUUCCUCAUGAGCAAUCGCAUGCGUUCGGACUGAACUUUAUAGAUUGUAAGGAGGACAUUCUGAGGAAGUGAAGGGAAUCAAUUGUGAAGCUUUGCUAGAAUCUCGUUUCUGUCCAUACAUUCGCCUCAGAAUAUCAGUUAUUAUGGGAAAUUGAAAUAACUGACUUGAUUGUCACGGAGUACCGUUAUCCGCCACUUCACCGGGGUAACAAACUAAAGCACACAAACAAAGAAAAACAAACUAAAACACAUAAAGAAAAUUACAAUCGUCCUCUUAUUGAAUUUACCUCAAGCUCCAACUGGAUGUUGUAGAUACUUCUCUCAAUGUCUCUGAGUUGGUUUUCUAAAUCCUCAACAUAGGAUACUAACUCUGGUGGUUGCAGAGCCCAAAUACGAUGUGUUUUACAAAAUCGAAUCUGUUUUUUGAGAUGAGAUUUUACACGUUGAAGUGGUUUAAGAAUGUCCAUGAGGAACUGUUUAGUUAUAACACUCAUGAUUAACAAUGAAAAGAGAAAACUUAAUGGUUAAACAAACACACUUAUGUAAAAAUAAUUUCAAUUAGCAAAAGAAUAAUAAAAAGAAAGGAAAAAAAAUCAAAUCACCGAAAAGAAAAAAAAAACUCAAUUCAAAUCUGGUGGGUCACUCAAAUUUAUUUCGGUGUCCUCUCCAUGUGGUUGGUACUCUAGAUAUGACUUUAAUCUUUGACCAUUAACUUUAAACGUGACACCGUUCUUUGGGUCCUUAUUUUCAAUUGCCCCAUGUGAAAAAACAAUGUGAACAAUAAAUGGGCCAAACCAUCGAGAAUGUAACUUACCUGGGAAUAGGUGCAAACGAGAAUUGAAUAAAAACACUUUCUGACCUGGAGUGAAAGAUUUUCUCAUAAUUUGCUUGUCAUUAAAGACUUUCAUUCGCUGCUUGUAAAUCUUGGCAUUUUCGUAUGCGUCAUUGUGAAUUUCUUCAAGUUAUGCCAGUUGUAAUCUUCUUUCUGAGCUAGCUUGCUGCAUGUCAAAAUUGAAUUUCUUGGUGGCCCAAUAUACACGAUGCUCGAGUUCCACAGGUAGGUGGCAAGCUUUUCCAUACACUAACCUGUAGGGUGACAUCCCAAUCGGGGUCUUAAAAGCCGUUCUAUAUGCCCAUAAUGCAUCAUCAAGUCUUAAUGACCAAUCUUUUCUGUCUGGCCUCACCGUCUUUUCUAAUAUGUGCUUUAUUUCUUGAUUGGAGAUCUCAACUUGGCCACUAGUUUGCGGAUGAUAUGGGGUCGCCACUUUGUGAGUGAUGGAAUACUUUGUCAAAAGAGUUUUGAAUGCUUUGUUACAAAAGUGGGCACCACAAUCACUGAUUAUUGCUCGAGGGAAUCCAAAGCAUAAAACAAUGUUGCUUUUCAAAAAUCCUAUCACUACCUUAUGAUCAUUGGUUCUACAUGGAAUUGCUUCUACCCAUUUUGAUACGUAGUCAACAACAACCAAAAUGUAUUGAUGGCCAAAAGAAGGGGGAAAUGGACCCAUGAAGUCGAUACCCCACACAUAAAAAAUCUCAACCACUAAAAUUGGAUUUAAUGGCAUCAUGUUCCUUCGUGUAAUGCUGCCCAUUUGUUUACACCUAUCACAUGAAGAACAGAAAGUGUAAGCGUCUCGAAAUAUAGUUGGCCAAUAGAAACCACAUUGUAAAACUUUAGUCGCUGUUUUCUUAGCGCUGAAAUGGCCUCCACAAGCUUGUUCAUGGCAGAAUGAAAGGAUAUUAUGAAUUUCACUUUCUGGGAUA